AGGUGGUGGAUGUUUCAGGAGUUCGUGGAUGAGCAAAAACCCCUCGCAAACUCCCUAAUUUAUAGGGAGAGGCGCGGAGGGCUAUCUCCCCUCACUCCAGAAACCGCCGCGCCUCUCGCCCAAUCACUCAAGAUGACGGGCAAAUAGGGAACCGCCCUGCUGCACCAAUGCAUGCGGGGGCGGACCCUGCCACGACUGCCCCUUUAUGGCCACGAACGCCACUUGCCUGACCAUUACUACGCAUGCUUUACGCGUGGCAUUAAUGCUUUGGGAGGUGGGGAGGCUCCUGUGUGCGCACUUCUCCACCUCUCGCACUUGAUGGCGACGUGGGGAAAGGUCAUUUGCAACGGCUCCAAAGCUACAAAGUCCCCUACCAAGGAAUCCCAUGCACUACUUUGGGCCCAGCCGAGUAACGCCCCCAGCGCAUGCGUGUCCCAAGCCAGGGGGCUCCUAUUAGUGCAUUAGAGACUGGGGUCCCUCGUGCCCCAGACUUGUGCAUGGGCAUCGGCGACGCCCCUGGUGGCAGUGCCCCGGGAAGAAUAGCAGAAAGGCAAUCCAAGACCCACUAAGGCCACGCCCUUCCCUCUCUUCAUGUGGCGAGGAAUACAAAGGCUCUAGAUGCAAGGCCCUGACAAGCCCACCCUGCCGGGAAGAUUCCCAAGGGCUCGACAACCCCUCAUUGCCGAGAAGACUCCCGAAGAUUAGCAAGCCCCCGGCAAGCCUCCCUUGUCGGGAAGGCUCGCGUAGACUGGCGAAGCCCCCGGCAAGUGCUCCUUGCCGGGAAAGUGUUCAAAUGCCCCGGCAAGCCCUCCUUGCCGGGAAGGUGACCAAGUCACCCGACAAAGACUCCAGGCCAGCAAGCCCCUUUCGCUCGCCAGGUGUCUGCUACCUCUUGAGCUUGCGUUGGUUUUUCCCUUGAAGAGGAAAGGGUGAUGCAGCACAGUAGCAGUAAGUAUUUCCCUCAGUUUGAGAACCAAGGUAUCAAACCAGUAGGAGUAUCAAGGCAAGUCUCCAAAGUACCUGCACAAAAACAAGCAAACUUGCACCCAACGCUACAAAGGGGUUGCCAAUCCCUUCACGGUUAACUGCAAGGUGAGAUCUAAAGGCCGAAAGUGCAACAAAGUAAAAGUGUAGAGCUGAAAAUAUGAUGUGAAGUAGACCCCGGGGCCAUAGUGUUCACUAGAGGCUUCUCUCAUGAUAGCAAAUAUUACGGUGGGUGAACGAAUUACUGUCGAGCAAUUGAUAGAACCGCGCAAAGUCAUGAUGAUAUCUAAGGCAAUGAUCAUACAUAUAGGCAUCACGUCUGAGACAAGUAGACCGAUACUUUGUGCAUCUACUACUAUUACUCCACACAUCGACCGCUAUCCAGCAUGCAUCUAGUGUAUGUACUUCAUAACAAACAGAGUAACGCCUUAAGCAAGAUGACAUGAUGUAGAGGGAUAAAUUCAUGCAAUAGAUAUAAACCCCAUCUUUUUACCCUUGGUGGCAACAACAUGAUGCGUGCCUCGCUACCCCUUCUAUCACUGGGUGAGGACACCGCGCGGUAUGAACCUAAAACCAAGCACUUCUCCCAUUGCAAGAAUUGUAGAUCAAGUUGGCCAAACGAAACUCACAACUCGAAGAGAAUUACAAGGAUAUGAAAUCAUGCAUAUAAGAGAUCAGAGGAAACUCAAAUAAUAUUCAUAGAUAAUCUGAUCAUAAAUCCACAAUUCAUCGGAUCUCGACAAACACACCGCAAAAGAAGAUUACAUNNNNNNNNNNNNNNNNNNNNNNNNNNNNNNNNNNNNNNNNNNNNNNNNNNNNNNNNNNNNNNNNNNNNNNNNNNNNNNNNNNNNNNNNNNNNNNNNNNNNNNNNNNNNNNNNNNGAUUACAUCGGAUAGAUCUCCAUGAAGAUCAUGGAGAACUUUGUAUUGAAGAUCCAAGAGAGAGAAGACGCCUUCUAGCUACUAGCUAUGGACCCGAAGGUAUGUGGUGAACUACUCACACAUCAUCGGAGAGGCAAUGGUGUUGAUGUAGAAGCCCUCCGUGUCCGAAUCCCCCCUCCGACAGGGCACCAAAAUGUGCCUCAGAUGGGAUCUUGCGGAGACAUAAGCUUGCGGCGGCGGAAAAGUAUUUUCGUGGCUCUCUCCCGUGGUUUCAUAUUUUUAGGGAUAUAGGCGGAAGAAGUAGGGCAAAGGAGCCACAAGGGGGCCCACAAGCCUGCUAGGCGCGCCCCCCAGGCCGCGGCUAGGGGGCUUGUGGCCUCCUGCGGGAGCCUUUGCCUUGGUUCUCAAGUUCCCUGCGUAUCUUCUAUUCCGGAAAAAAUCUUUCCGGAGGUUUUAUUCCGUUUGGACUCCGUUUGAUAUUCUCCUCUAAAAAAGGUCAAAAACACGAAAAAAACAGGAAGUGGCACUUGGCACUGAGUUAAUAGGUUAGUACCAAAAAAAGAUAUAAAAUGCAUACAAAACAUCCAAAGUUGACAAGAUAAUAGCAUGGAACCAUAAAAAAAUAUAGAUACGUUGGAGACGUAUCAAGCACCCCAAGCUUAACUCCUGCUCGUCCUCGAGUAGGGAAGUGAUAAAGACUGAAUUUUUGAUGUGGAAUGCUACCUAACAUAUUUGUCCUUUGUAACUUCUUUCAUGUGACAUGAAUGUUCAGAUCCGUAAGACUCAAAACAAUAGUUUGCUAUUGACAUGGAAACAAUAAUACUUCAAGCAAACUAGCAAGGUAAUCAUGAACUUUCGAAAUAACAAGGCCAAAGAAAGUUAUCCCUACAAAAUCAUAUAGUCUGGCUAUGCUCCAUCAUCCCCACACAACGAAUUUAAAUCAUGCACAACCCCGGUAUUGGCCUAGUAAUUUUUUUCGCACUCUUACUUUCUCAAACUUUUUCAACUUUCACGCAAUACAUGAGCGUGAGCCAUGGAUAUAGCACGAAAGGUGAAAUAGAGUGUGGUGGAGGUUGUGAGGCAAAAAAGGAGGAGAUGGUCACAUCGACUCGGCGUAUCAACGGGCUAUGGAGAUGCCCAUCAAUAGAUAUCAAUGUGAAUGAGUAGGGAUUACCAUGCAACGGAUGCACUUAGAGCUAUAAGUGUGUGAAAGCUCAAAAGGAGAACUAGUGGGUGUGCACCCAACUUGCUUGCUCACGAAGACCUAGGGAAAUUUUGAGGAAGCCCAUCAUUGGAAUAUACAAGCCAAGUUAUAUAAUGAAAAUUCCCCCUAGUAUAUGGAAGUGUCAAAACAAGAGACUCUCUAUCAUGAAUAACAUGGUGCUAUUAUGAAGCACAAGUGUGGAAAAAGAUAGUAGCAUUGUCCCUUCUCUCUUUUUCUCUAAUUUUUUUGUUUGGGCUCUUUGGCCUCUUUUCAUUUUUCCUCACAUGGGACAAUGCUCUAAUAAUGAUGAUCAUCACACUUUUAUUUACUCACCACUCAACACUUAGAGCAAUGAUGACUCUAUAGGAAAUACCUCCGGUAGUGUACCGGGAUGUGCAACAAUCUAGCGUAGCGUAUGCCAUUGAAACAUCUCGCUAGCUAUCUCACGAUCAUGCAAUGGCAAUAUGAAAGUGAUGGCACAUGUCAUGAGACGGAACGAUGGGAGUUGCAUGGCAAUAUAUCUCGGAAUGGCUAUGAAAAUGCCAUAAUAGGUAGGUAUGGUGGCUGUUUUGAGGAAGGUAUAUGCUGGGUUUGUGCACCGGCUAAAGUUGCGCGGCACUAGAGAAGCUAGCAAUGGUGGAAGGUGAAAGUGCAUCUAUACCAUGGACUCACAUUAGUCAUGAAGAACUCAUAUACUUAUUGCGAAAGUUUUAUUAGUAAUCGAAACAAAGUGCUAAACGCAUACUCCUAGGGGAAGGGUUGGUAGGUGUUAACCAUCGCGCGAUCCCGACCGCCGCACAAAGGAUGACAAUCAAUAAAUCAAUUAUGCUCCGACUUCCUAACAUAGCGGUUGACCAUACGUGCAUGCUACGGGAAUCACUAACUUCAACACAAGUAUUUUUAGAUUCACAACACCCUACUAACAUGACUCUAAUAUUACCAAAUCCAUGUCUCAAAACUAAUUGAGAGGAAUCAAACUUCUCUUACUAAUCAAUGCACAUGAAUAUGGAAGUUUUUAUUAUAUCCUCUUUGGAUGCCUAUCAUCUUUAGGACUACUUUCGUAGCACAAGCCAAUUACCAAGUUACUCGGAGAGAGCACUCUCAAAAAGAUAUAAGUGAAGAUCGAGAGUUAUCAUUUCUACAAAAUAUAACACCGCCUUGCUCUAAAAAGAUCUAAGUGAAGCACUAGAGCAAAGUUAUCUAGCUCAAAAGAUAUAAGUGAAGCACAUGCGAGCUAAAUUGCCUAACUCAAAAGAUAUAAGCGAAGCUCAAUGAGUAUUCUAGCAAAUUCACGAUGAGUGCAUGUCUCUCUCAAAAAGGUGUGCAGCAAGGAUGAUUUUGACACAACAAAAGAAAAGACUCCUAUAAUACACGACGCUCCAAGCAAAACACAUAUCAUGUGGAGAAUAAAAAUAAAGCUCCAAGUAACGUUACCGAUGGUUGAAGACGAAAGAGGGGAUGACUUCCCGGGGCAUCCCCAAGCUUAGGAUUUUUGGUGUCCUUGAAUUUGGCUUGGGAUGCCUUGGGCAUCCCCAAUCUUGAGCUCUUUCCACUCUUUAUCCCAUUGUCCAUGAGAACAUCACCCAAAACUUGAAAACUUCACAACACAAAACUUAAACAGAAACUCGUGAUAUCAUUAGCAUAAGAAAACAAACCACCACCUCUUUAGGUACUGUAGAAAACUUGAUUUCUAUUUAUAUUGGUGUUAGAUUACUGUAUUCUCACUAUUCCAUGGCUACUACCCCCCGAUACUGUCCAUAGUUUCAUCAAAAUAAGCAAUCAACACAACAAAAACAGAAUCUGUCAAAAACAGACCAGUCUGUAGCAAUCUGUAUACUUCGUAUAUUUAUGGUAUCUAUAAAAUUCUGAAAAAUUAUGAAAAUUGGGGAAUUGGCAUAUAAACCAGCAGCAAAAAGAAUCAACUCAAAAUCUCUUUAUGCAUAGGAACUAAAAAUCAUUUCUUGAGCGCAAAGUUUUUGUCUUUUUCAGCAAGAUCAAACAACCAUCACCAAAACUAGUCAUAAAGGUUUUACUUGGCACAAACACAAAAAGAAACACAAAAAACACAAUCAUAACAGAAUUAUGAUGGUGUGGACACAAAAAAAACAGAAAGCAAAAAGCAAAGAUAAAUUCAUUGGGUUGCCUCCCAACAAGCGCUAUUGUUUAACGCCCUUAGCUAGGCAUUGAUAAUUCAAUGAUGCUCACAUAAAAGACAAGGAUUGAAGCACAAUGAGAGCAUCAUAAAGCAUGUGAAAAUCACAUCUAAGUCUAACAUACUUCCUAUGCAUAGGCAUUUUAUAGGAAAACAGAUUGUCAAGACAACCAAUAGUUGCCAUAUGCAAGGAAGAAGAAAGAGACAAUAGCAAUCUCGACAUAACAAGAAGUGAUUUAGUGAUAUGAAAGUUUCUACCACAAUAUUUUCCUCUCCCAUAACAAUUACAUGUGGGAUCAUAUUCAAAUUCAAAAAUAUAGCUAUCACAUAUGAUAUUCUUUUCAUGAUCCACAUGCAUGCAAAGUUGACGCUCUUCAAAAAUAGUGGGAUUAUCAUCCACUAAAGUCAUGACUUCUCCAAACCCACUUUCAAUAUUAUUGCAAAUAUAGUCUUCAUCAUGAGGCUUAAACAAAUUUUGAAGAUCAUAAGAAAAAUCAUUACCCCAAUCAUGAUCAUUGCAACAAGUAGUGGACACAGCAAAACUAGCAUCCCCAAGCUUAGGGUUUUGCAUAUUUUUAGCAUGAUUUCCAUUAAUAGAAUUCAUAAUGAAACCAUUGCAAUCAUACUUUUCAUUCAAGGAGCCCUCAAGAAAAACUUCAUAAAUUUCUUCAUCACGAUUUUCAGAUUCACGCAUCUCAAGCAAAACUUCAUAAAGAAAAUCUUGUGCAGAAAACUCACAAGCAAUUGGUUCCACAUAAUUGGAUCUCUUAAAGAGAUUAGCAAGUGGAUGAGGAUCCAUAUCAAUAGAUUUUCAGCAAGCGAAGAUGCAAGCAUAUUGAAGGCACAUAGCACACAAGCAAAGGAAAGGCAAACGAAAAAGGCAAAUAUUUUUGUAAAUUUUUGUUUUUCAGAAGUGGGGGAGAGGAAAACGAGAGGCAAAAAAGUAAAUGCAAGAGAUGAGUUUGCAACAUUUACUUGCAUAAGCUUCACUUAGAAUAGUCCCAGGUGCCAGAAAUUGACACGUUGAAGGAAGACUAUUCUUGACUUGAUACUCCCCGACAACGGCGCCAGAAAUUCUUCUUGCUACCUCUUGAGCUUGUGUUAGUUUUUCCCUUGAAGAGGAAAGGGUGAUGCAGCACAGUAGCAGUAAGUAUUCCCCGCAGUUUGAGAACCAAGGUAUCAAUCCAGUAGGAGUAUCAUGGCAAUUCUCCAAAGUACCUGCGCAAAAACAAGCAAACAUGCACCCAACGCUACAAAGGGGUUUUCAAUCCUUUCAUGGUUAACUGCAAGGUGAGAUCUAAAGGCGGAAAGUGCAACAAAGUAAAAGUGUAGAGCUGAAAAUAUGAUGUGAAGUAGACCUGGGGGCCAUAGUGUUCACUAGACGCUUCUCUCAUGAUAGCAAAUAUUAUGGUGGGUGAAUGAAUUAAUGUCGAGCAAUUGAUAGAACCGCGCAAAGUCAUGAUGAUAUCUAAGGCAAUGAUCAUACAUAUAGGCAUCACGUCCGAGACAAGUAGGCCGAUACUUUCUGCAUCUACUACCGUUACUCCACACAUCGACCGCUAUCCAGCAUGCAUCUAGUGUAUUGAGUUCAUAACAAACAGAGUAACGCCUUAAGCAAGAUGACAUGAUGUAGAGGGAUAAAUUCAUGCAAUAGAUAUAAACCCCAUCUUUUUACCCUUGAUGGCAACAACACGAGGCGUGCCUCGCUACCCCUUCUGUCACUGGGUGAGGACACCGCACGGUAUGAACCCAAAACCAAGCACUUCUCCCAUUGCAAGAAUUAUAGAUCAAGUUGGCCAAACAAAACCCACAACUCGAAGAUAUCAGAGGAAACUCAAAAAAUAUUCAUAGAUAAUCUGAUCAUAAAUCCACAAUUCAUCGGAUCUCGACAAACAAACCGCAAAAGAAGAUUACAUCGGAUAGAUCUCCAUGAAGAUCAUGGAGAACUUUGUAUUGAACAUCCAAGAGAGAGAAAAAGACAUCUAGCUACUAGCUAUGGACCCGAAGGUCUGUUGUGAACUACUCACGCAUCAUCGAAGAGGCAAUGGUGUUGAUGAAGAAGCCCUCCGUGUCGAAUCCCCCUUCCGGCAGGGCACCAGAACGUGCCCCAGAUGGGAUCUUGCGGAGGCAGAAGCUUGCGGCGGCGGAAAAGUAUUUUCGUGGCUCUCUCCCGUGGUUUCAGAUUUUAGGGAAUUUAUAGGCGGAAGAAGUAGGGCAAAGGAGCCACGGGGGGGCCACAAGCCUGCUAGGCGCCCCCAGACCGCGACUAGGGGGCUUGUAGCCUCCCCCGGGAGCCUUUGCCUUGGUUCUCAAGUUCCCUGCAUAUCUUUUGUUCCGGAAAAAAAAUCUUUCCAGAGGUUUUAUUCCAUUUGGACUCCGUUUGAUAUUCUCCUCUGAAAAAACACAGAAAAACAGGAACUAUCACUUGGCACUGAGUUAAUAGGUUAGUCCCCAAAAAAGAUAUAAAAUGCAUACAAAACAUCCAAUGUUGACAAGAUAAUAGCAUAGAACCAUAAAAAAUUAUAGAUAAGUUGGAGACGUAUCACUGUCCUCCCCCGUUUUCUACCAUAAUCCGACCGCUCCAGCACAUCCCUCGUGUGCCAGCACAAGACCGAGGUGUCGAUUCACCUGGAUACGUGUCGCGACCACCUUGCGGCGGGUCAAGGGUCACACAAGGCAUUUACUACCCCUGACACCAUGGAAGAAGUAGAACGGUGAACACUGUCCACUAUUCACCCCGUGAGCACCCUGUUGGUGACCCCUUUGUCAAUAAAAGGAGGCUCAAAGCUCAUUCUUAGAGGUUGGACCUUUUGGGAUCGUAGACUCCCUAAUCACCUACUAAGUUACUGUAGCAAAAUCACCCUACAGUAAGCACAUAAUACAAACUAAGCAGGAGUAGGGUUUUACGCGCCAACCGGCCCGAACCUGGGUAAAAAAAUCUUGCCCGUGUUGAUCGCUAGUUCCGCUCUCGACGCUGUACCUCUCUCCCCGUCGAACGAUCAAGGGAUCCUCGAGUUUCCCAUAGGUGUUGGUUUCCCCGAUAAUGAUUGUCGUGGUUUUGUCACGGCAGAUGUCCUCGUGAAAGGACUUAGUAUUGGAGCCAUCACACUUUGGUGGCGACUCAAAGGGGUUGAACGGGAGUGAGACGGUGAUUUACCCAGGUUCGGCCCCUCGUGAGGAGGUAAAUGCUUACGUCCUGCUUUGAGUUGUAUUGAUGGAGUUUCGAUUACAAGGAGGGCGUAACUCGCCAGACCUAGUACUCGAUGAUNNNNNNNNNNNNNNNNNNNNNNNNNNNNNNNNNNNNNNNNNNNNNNNNNNNNNNNNNNNNNNNNNNNNNNNNNNNNNNNNNNNNNNNNNNNNNNNNNNNNNNNNNNNNNNNNNNNNNNNNNNNNNNNNNNNNNNNNNNNNNNNNNNNNNNNNNNNNNNNNNNNNNNNNNNNNNNNNNNNNNNNNNNNNNNNNNNNNNNNNNNNNNNNNNNNNNNNNNNNNNNGACUCUUACAAUCUCUAAGUCGCCAUCUUUCCAAAGCUUGGAAACCUUCCGGCGGUUGUAAACCGCCAUACAACCUUCGGUCUUGCCAGGCCAAAUCCCGAACCAUGCUUAGACGAAUCGCCAGAUUGGGUGACCCGGCCCAACUAGGGCGGGUUAUCAAUAGAUAAUAUCCCCAACAUUAGGCCCCAGAUUGACUUGAAUUUUCUUCACGCCAAUAUCCUUACUCAAUUAAGGGCGAUUCAUUUUUCGUCCUCUUUUAUAUGCCAUGAACUUAACCCGCCAUCUGUCGUAGAAAAACUUAAGUCGCCAGACCAUUUCUCGUCGGUACCUUCUUAUCCCUUGAAUUCCAGAAAAGAUAAUGACGCAAUCCCAAUGGAUCCUUCGGUAUCAUUAUCCCAAAAUUUUGGGAGCGCCAUCAUAGCGAAUCUUUAUCUUUUGGCGGUUCCCGCUCGAGGCGCCUCGAUUCCAGCGCCUGCCCUGUUAAAUAGGUGGGGAAAAGGACUGGGCGCAUUCCACCCACCAGUCUUGUCGCCCUUCUCCCCAUUAUCACAGCGAAACCCUCAUCGUCUUCCGUGAGCUCCGCCACCAACCGCGGUUCUCGCCGUCGUCCGAAAGUUUUGGUGCCGCUCGAAGAUCUUGUCGCUGCCAAGCACUUCGCCGCGGCUGAGCUGUUCGCCGUCACCGACCGUCUCGUCGUCGUUGAACACCUCAUCGUCGCCGAACACUUCGUCGCCGCCGAAUACUUCGACGCCGCCUGAGGUUUCCGCGCCCGUCCGGAAGCCUUCAUCGCCGUCGACCAUCUCCAGCCGAAUCCACCAGGUUAGGUUUCCAUUGUUCAAGAGCAGAUCCCAAUUUCCUUUCGAGGUUCAUCACUGCCACAUUACUUGGUGCUUCCCGAAUAGUUGUUGCGUGUUCCUAAUUAAUCGAUGGCGUCGAUGACGAGAAAAUCAAGGUCUUUGAUACUUUUACCUGUCCGCUCUUGAUUUGCACACUUAGAGUAGGACUUCACCAAAUCAACAGUAGUAUCCCAUCUUAGUCGAAGGUUGCCAUAUCCGGUCAUUUCCACGUUUAUUUUCGUCUGUCCAGUAGAUCCAUAAUCUACUGCUUUGUUAUGCGAAAAUUGUUUGUACUCUUCAUACUUCGCCAUUUUUUGGAUAAAUACCUCUGAUGCCUUGAAACACCGCUCCCUUAAGUAGCCAAAGUUUCGCAAGUCGCCCUAGCAACCUGACCCAGGCCUUCAUUGGCGGAUCAAAAAAUUUCCUCGGCCAGCGGACAAAUUACUUGGCGAGUCAAAUGAAAACGUUUCACCUCUUACUGUAGAUGUUUUGGCGUGUCAAUUUACCCGUACUUUAUCCCUUUGUAGCAUGGGCGCCAUCUUCAAAAGUGACUGGCUCCCUACCAAGGUUAAUGACGCCAUACUAGCGGAUUAUGUGAAAACGGGAAAUUUGGACCCUCGGGAUGUUAUCGGUUGGCGCACCGGGUUCGGAGAAGAAAUCCCCAAUCCCAAAGAAGGGGAAAUAGUUGUUUUCGUUGAACACCUUGAGCGAGGUUUUAAGCCACCUGGAUCGAAGUUCCUCAGAGACGCCAUGGCUUUCAUGAAUGUCCGCCUCCAAGAUCUAGGGCCCAACUCGAUAAGUAACCUAUGCCAGUUCCAAGUGUUUUGUGAGGCUUAUUUGCGGAUGGAACCCUCAGUUCCCUUAUUUUGGUACUUCUUCCACUUAAAUCGCCAAACAGAAUUUCACAAUGGCCCCAACCUGGAGCUCGACGGUGUAAACGUUCAACGCCGCAGGGAUAGCCCAUUUCCAUCACUCGCCAUGCCAAGCCACCCCAAAGGCUGGGGCGAGUCUUGGUUCUACUGUCAAGAAACCUCGCCUAUAGGUGAAAACAAACUUCUGGGUUAUAGGGAAGAUCGCCUCCCAACGAAUUUCAAGCCCCCGGACAAGCUCACCGAGGAGGAGUCAGAUUUUAUCCCAGUAUUGUCCAUGUUAAGAUCUUUGACAAACAACGGCCUUACUGGAGUUGACUUAAUCCGCUGCUGGGUCGAAUGGUGCAUCCUCCCUUUAAGUCACCGGGACGGGUUAAUGUGUGAAUUCGACGGCACUCUAGAUCAUCCUCAAUGCUACUUCCACACGGCCCUAACGGAAAGUGAUAUUGUCACCAUCAUCAAGAAGCUGACCGGCGAGCCCGUGGGAAAAUGCGGCCAAACAGGUCUCAAACCUUUCUGCAAUAUUAAUCCGGCACCCAAGGUAACCAACUUUAACCCGCCUUUUGUCUUUUACUUCUUAUGUAUCAUUCUAACUAUGGCCUCUUAUAGAAUAUACCAUUUCAGAAAGGUGAUAAAUUUUGGUCCAAGAGGCCAAAGAAGUCAGCCAUGAAGCAAGCUAGGCCGCCUCCAAAGAAGAAAUCCAAGGGCAAGGGCAAAGCUGCUGUGACCGAACCAUCCGAGGUCGAUGAAUCCCAAGUCGGCGACACACCUUCAGAGGUACAAACCUAUCCUUUCUUAACUCGCCAUGCAUUACUGAUAACUUUGUAUUUAUACCUCUGCAUCUCUUGAAUAGAAUGAAGACAACGAAAGCCAGGAGGAUUCCGUAGAGGUAAUUUAUGUUUCCUCCGAUUCAUCUCCUUCUCCAUCUAAGCCGGCUAGGCGAAUUUGUGGGAAAGUUCCCUUCUCACAGCCAAAUGCUUGUUUGGACCCAAAUUUUCUUCUGAAGAAAGCACAACACACUUCAAAUUGGAAGACCCGAAGUCAUUCUGGCGAUCUGGUGUCCGGUUUACGAGCAAGGAACAAGAAAAGGCCAAAUGAGGUAUCCUUUUAACAACACUUUUCCACGUCUUUUUGGAUCGCAUUUGUAACCUUCUUAUAUCUUUGACGUAUAAUUCUUGCAGAGUUCUCCUCCUACAUCUGGUGACUUAAUAAUGUCACCACUUCCGCCAAUGAUUCGUGUCCCUGGGUAAGUCUUUUAAUAAUCUUUACUUUGAAUCUGAUGGUAAUAAGUUUUCAGUCCUUUUAAACGCACCCCUUCUCCUUUCAGGGCACAAGCGAAGAAAAGAAAAACUGGCAGGUCAACUCCCAUCAUAAUCUCGGAGCCUAUCGAAAAGACGGCACCGAUCCAAGACAACCCGGACCAAGACAAACCUGAGGAUCAAGUGGAUCUCCCUAGCUCUCCCAAGGAAACAAUGGAUGCCCCCAAGCCGCCAAGUAGACAACAGCAGAAGACCCGGACGCUGUAAUUAUCACUGGUACUAGCUUCUCUAAACCGGCCACAACGGUUUUACCGAAGCAUGCAUCAUCAUCAGCUCAAACUGUUCCUGAGUAUGAACUCUCCAAGGCUAAGCUCUCUCAAUAUGAACAUCUGGAAUUCAAAGAACUUUGCUCUGGUUUUGCAAGUCGCCUGGAGGCGAGUUAUGAGAUGGAUAAAAGCCUGCUUCGGAUGCUGAAAAACAAACAUGAGGUAUGUUUUGUUGUAUACUAUAUUAUCCGCAUUAACCCCCAAGGGUCGGGUCAUCAGUAAAAAGAUGAGCCGGGUCUUGAUGAUUUGAAAACUUUCAACCAGUAACCCCCAAGGGCCGGGUCAUAGGUAAAAAGAUGAGUCGGGUCUUGAUGAUUUGAAAAACUUUUGACCAGUAACCCCCAAGGGCCGGGUCCUCAGUAAAAAGAUGAGCCGGGUCUUGAUGACUUGAAAAACUUUCAACCAGUAACCCCCAAGGGCCGGGUCAUCAGUAAAAAGAUGAACCGGGUCUUGAUGAUUUGAAAAACUUUCGACCGGUAACCCCCAAGGGCCGGGUCAUCAGUAAAAAGAUGAACCGGGUCUUGAUACUGUAUAAUUUUGUCUGAAAAAAUUAUACAUUAGCCCCCAAGUGUCAGGGAUGUUGCUUGCAAUAGUUCUGAGACUUGCCCCUUAACCAUAUGUUGCAAUAGGAAUCUCUUAUCCAGACUGAAUCAACACUUGGCGACUUGAAGAAAAGCUUAUCUGAUCAGCAGGAUACCCGGGCCCAAUCAGAGGAGAAGUAUCACCUGGUCUUAGCUGAGAUGGAAAAGCUAAAAGCCGAUUUAAGAAGGGCUCAAGCUGACCAAGAUGUUCAACAAAGCGAGCAGAAAAGGCUGAAGACAAGCUGGCGACUGUGCAACAAGAGCUGUCCGGCUUAAAACGACAUAUCUCAAACAUGGCGCAAGCCGUCUUUGGUAAAAAACUUACUCUUGACCUUUGUAAACAAAUAACUCUUAUCUGAGUCGCUCAUUAUCAUUAUCCCUUAUACAGGUCCAAGAGCCGCCAACCUUCAGGAUGAUUGCGUCCUGAAGCUGAAGGCGAUCUACACCUGACGGAGCAGCUAUAUACCGGCAGUGUACUGAGUGUGAAAGCGGUGAUGGGCGCCAAGGAGCCUAUAACAUCAAUAAAGCAGAUGCUUGACUGUCUAUCCAUGCUUCCUCCCCAGAUUGCCGAGUUAACUCGAUCAGCCGCCCGGAAAGGAGUGCUGACUACACUGAGUUGAUGCUUAGCAUAUGCUCCAGAGAUAAACCCAGAAGAAGUAGCGGCGGGCUUUCCUCAACUCAAGGAUGAUGGGUCAGAAUUCACCGAAGAGGACUACCAGCGUGUCGUCAAGGACUCCCGUCUGGCGGCGACUCAGCUUGCUGCAAGCCUAGACUUAUCAAAAUACCAGGCCGCUUAUGACAAUAAGAACAAGAAGGUCAACCCGCCAACCUUUGUGACGACCAGCUUAACUCCGCGUCGACCCAAGAAUCCUUUUGACUUGGACGCGGAUCUCUCAUGAAUCCUGACCGAUGAAGAUGAAUUUGCCACUCUAUCCAAGUCUAACUGGGUACUGGGCGACUUGCAGAUUGAGGUUGGCCAAAACUCACAGCAGGCUGAUCCAAGGGCAUCAGCAGAAUAAAAUUUCAUUGAUUUGGCCAUGAGAGCCAUGUAAUAGGUCUCCUUUAGGAAUCGACACUGCUUUUGUGGCACCUUUAAAACAUCCUUAUGUCGCCCUUAAGGCGUUUUGAACUGCUUGAUCAGCCAUUUGAAGCUUUUUUAUCAUAAUACUUGACCCGCCAUUGAGGUCUUUUUUAUGAUGCUUAAUCCGCCAUGGAUAGAGUGAUUUUGAUCAUCCACCUGUUCUAAGCUUUGAAAAACAUAUAUGAAAUCAUCUCAGUGAAUAAUAAGUGAUAAUAAAUAGCAGCCGCCCAAAAAUAUUUUGAGACGAAUGAGAAAAAAGUCUGAAAAACCUUGCGGCAGUGCCAAGAAGGUAAAAAAUAACAAUUUCGUCGGCUCAUAAGGUCGCGACAGGAUAGGGCGAGUCAAAAAAGCUCANNNNNNNNNNNNNNNNNNNNNNNNNNNNNNNNNNNNNNCGACAGGAUAGGGCGAGUCAAACAAACUCAAGCGCCACCCAAGACAAUAAUUUCAUAGGCCAAAUGGACAAUAAAAUUGAUCUCAAUGAGAGGAAGCCCCCAAGUCGGGAGGCGUUUUAAUUUUAUUGGUUUAUAAUAAGGACUGAAAAACUUACAAAAUGCAGAGCUUAAAAGCUCAAGUGUAGUAAGGCCGCAAGUGGGCAAUAUUCCAGGGGCGAGUCGACUCAGCCUCCGUGGUUGGCCGGUUAGGCCGGAGAUCCACCAGAUAGUAAGAACCGUUGUGAAGAUUUUCACUGACGAUGAACGGUCCUUCCCAUGGUGGUGAUAACUUAUGCAUACCAGCACGAUCCUGUAUCAUCUGAAGCACUAAGUCGCCUUCCUCAAAGGUUCGACUCUUGACCCGGCGGUUGUGAUAACGCCGUAAAUCCUGCUGAUAAAUGGCCGAUCGGGCCACAGCCAAGUCACGCGCCUCCUCUAAGGCAUCCAAAGAGUCUUGACGCGCCAGUUCGUUGUCCUGUUCCACAUAAGCGGCGACUCUGGGCGAGUCAUGCCUAAUGUCAGUGGGAAGAACAACUUCUGCUCCAUAGACCAGAAAGAAAGGGGUAAAACCCGUGGACCGGUUCGGGGUGGUCCGGAUGCUCCAUAACACUGAAGGCAACUCCUCAACCCAACACCCCGGGUUUUUUUUCCAAGGGAACCAUGAGCCGGGGCUUGAUUCCCCGUAAAACUUCCUGAUUCGCCCGUUCCGCCUGCCCAUUAGAUUGCGAGUGAGCGACCGCAGAAACAUCAAGCCGGAUAUGCUCUUGACGGCAAAACUCCUCCAUCGCCCCUUGAGAUAGAUUAGUGCUGUCGUGGGUAUAAGNNNNNNNNNNNNNNNNNNNNNNNNNNNNNNNNNNNNNNNNNNNNNNNNNNNNNNNNNNNNNNNNNNNNNNNNNNNNNNNNNNNNNNNNNNNNNNNNNNNNNNNNNNNNNNNNNNNNNNNNNNNNNNNNNNNNNNNNNNNNNNNNNNNNNNNNNNNNNNNNNNNNNNNNNNNNNNNNNNNNNNNNNNNNNNNNNNNNNNNNNNNNNNNNNNNNNNNNNNNNNNNNGGGCAUACUUAAGGUCCUGUCCCUUGCGUGGGGUAGUCCUUGGGUAGGACCUGUAGGACAGGCCUAUGACCCUACCCUAGGACUAUGACCCCAUCAUUAGUCCCCGAAUGGAUUGGGGUUGAAACGUCAAAGCAGUGCUCGAUGCUCAGAUCCGACUGGACUAGGUUCGGCUUGGGCGUUGCUUGCCUCUAUCCAUUCUAUCUCUCCUGGCCAAUGAUCCGAGUGAAUGUGUUCUGCGGAACGGACUGUCGGGAACCGAGUGCUUUCGCGGCAUCUUUUGACUCGACCGGUCAACUCACAGCGGCGGAUUUUCCGGGAUCUUAAAUUUCGGGUUCCGCACGCUUAGCGGGGGCGACGUCAGCGCGCUCGAGUAGCGCCUCACUCCUCGAUCCUCGCGCCUUCAACUCUUCCGCCGAUAUCGCCGCGGCUGGUUGGGCGGAUAAGAUUUCGGGCCCGCUCGCCAGCGACCCAGUCGGUGUUCUAUUUAACUCUGGCCGACGAGACCCUUCGGUUACGCUCGCCGAAUCCUCUGCUCUUGCUUGCUCCGUCUUCCUCGCCACCUCUUGCGCUCAUACACCUUUCGCUUCCAAUCCUUCUCGAAAGCUCACCAUCGCCGCCAUGACCAAGGGCCAGACCAGCAAGAUGGAGGCAAGGAAGAAGAAGGGCAAGGCGGUGGCUGCUCAGCGGCGGCAGCGGCCAUUGCCAGCAGGAUGGAUCCAGGGAGACUUUCUCCCCUCCACAGUGACGGAGGGGGACCUGCUGGAGCUGGUAGAGCACGGCCAGCUCGUGCAUAAGUCUUGGAGGUUGCCGGCGGACGACGAGGUUGAGCCGGCGCCACGGGAGGGGGAACGCGUCUUGCUCCUCAGCCACGUUCACCGAGGUUUCUCUCUGCCCCCCACCCUUUCUUCAAGGGUAUUAUGAAUCAUUUUGGUGCACAACUCCAUCAUUUCCCUCCGAACGCCAUCGUCCACCUUUCAACAUUCAUUGUCUUGUGUGAAUGCUUUAUUGGUUGUCCUCCCCAUUGGGGUUUAUUCAAACACAUCUUUUCCGUCCGCUCCCAAACCAUAAAACGUCUUAGUCAAUCGGAUGACAAGACGCAUCUCCUCCAGCUCUGUGGGGGUUUAGGGUUUCAGAAGAAGAAUCGGAGUAUUUACCCUGCUCGUCAACGUGGUUUUACUGCCAGGACAUAGCCUGUCCGAACACGUCGACUGGGCUGCCUCCAUUCAAUCUAGACCGCCCUGCUCCACCCAAGCAACUCGCUCUCUCGAAAGCGGAGAAGAAAGACAUCCAGCCUUUGGUUGAGGCACUCGCGGAUGUUGUCAGGAGGGGGGUCACUGGGAUGGACUUGCUGGAAGUCUUCAUCGGUCGGCGAAUCCAGCCUCUGCAAGCCCGCCACCAUGCCAUGUGGCACUACGCAGGACCUGAAGACUCCACUCGGACCAACGUGGAGGGCAUUCUCGAGGAGAAGGUGACCUCAAAGGUGCUCCAAAUCAUGGGUCCCUGUGAGAAUCCCAAGGGGGCCCGCCGAGUGGCGCCUUAUGGUGCGGACAACCCUCCACCGAAUCAGGUGAGUAGCAUUAGCCGAGUGCGUUGAACUGCUUUGAUUUCAGCAACUCAUUUAUAUCUCCGCGUGAUGCUUAACGUUUCCGACUGCAGGCGUCGACCAACUGGUUCUCCCCCGUCUCGAGCGGGAAACUGGAGGAGGAAGAUGAAGAAGGCAGCCAGGAGGGAAGCGUGGAGAGCGACGAAUACAUCUUCGACAGCGAAGAGCCGGAGGAGGAAAACAACGAGGAAGAGGAAAAAGAUGAAGAGCCAGACUCGCCGCCUCCGCGGCCAGAGCAUCGGAAUAGGCGUCGGCAAGAGUCUGCCGUCCCUUCAGUUCCCCUUGUGUCGCCGAGUGCCCCGCCUGCUUCCCCGGCUGCACCGAGUGUUUGAGGUACCAAAAGAGCUAGGGACGCAGCCGCUGAACCUGCGGGCCAGUCCUCCAAGGCGCCCAAAUCGAGCGGAUCCAAACCUCGGAAGGCUCUGCCGCGGAUGAGGGUGGCCAUCCCCGUCACCUCCACGUAAGCAAAUCUAGUUUUCGGUCCUUUCUGUUGACCGAGUGAACUCUUGUUUUACAAGUAGAAUGGUCUUCACUCGACAGGGUUGCCACUUCUGCGACCUCGCCGGCUCGCCAAGGGGACGACCCCAUGGACGCGGACAAUGUCGUUUCAUCACAGCCAGGUACGUUGUGGGAGAGUCGGGUAUUUUAUUCCUGCAGACUGCGCCAUCUCUUUCUGCUUCUGAAGCACUGCGUUAUUCGGCUUGUGAGGGGGGAGAGCUGACUCGACCGCGGAGCCCAUCGAAGAGCCUGUCCCUGAGGCUGCUCCUCCUGCCGCCGCCCCUGCCGUCGACGCUCUACAAAACGAAGUGCCUCCGCCGACUGAACCGGCGCUGACGGGUGAGGAACCUACUGGGGCGAACCUUGGGAUGAACCAAGAUCUCCCCCCGAUUCCCGGUUCGUCGAACACCGAAUUCAACAUUCGGUGUGUCCCGGAGGAGCAGGUGGGAGCGGUCAAGGGGACCAUGGUUCAGGCGGAGCUGAUGGCCGGAGAGGCCAAGAGGGUUUAUGACUCCGCUGCAGCUUUAUAUCAGCGGAGCUUGGAGCUGCGCGAUGACAUCCGAGUAAGUACCCUAGUAAGUACUUACUUUUCUUCUGUAACCCACUAGGUGUUGUCGUAGUCUGUUGUUUGCAAUGGGUUCACUCUGAGUGAACCCAGUGGGUGUAGUCCCCGGGACUUCUGUCGAGUGCUUGCACCACAGUUGUCUUUAUAUAUUUGGUCUUUAUUUUUGUCGUGUCCGUAGACAAGAUUUCUGAGUGCAAGUACUUACUGCAGUCGGAGCACUCUUGCGGUAAGAGUUCCCUAGAGUAAACUGCACACAGGUGGAGUAGCUUUAGCCUCGGAGGCGUAGGUGAAAACGUGCACCUCAAUAGGGCAGACCUGCUUGAGGUGCAUGCCAGUGGGGUCACUCUUAGUGAACCCACUGGGUGUAGUCCCCGAGACCGUUGUCGACUGCUUGCGUCGGUAGGGGUCUAAAGAACGUAGUGUGUAUUGAGAAAGUUGCUGAUAACCCUUUGUUUUGUUUUGUAGAAAACUUGUGAGAGGGGAACUUCUUAUGAAGCCCUCAGAGCGGAGAGGAAUCAAUAUGCUUGUGAACUGGAAGCUGCAAUGCUUGCCAUGGCUGGUAUGAAGGACGCUCUGGAAGCGCGAGAAAAGUCCUUGGAAGAAGCUCGGGAGGCAAACAGGGUAUUGACGGCGAAGACGCAGAUGAUGAGGAAACAUAGGACCGAUCUGCAUAAUCAGAUGGGCGCCCUGAACAGAAGGUGCAUAGCUCAAGAGAAGUAUGUCACCGACUGGGCUGAGCAAAUGAUGACUUGUCUGGCUGGUAAGUCAUAUGCUUUGUCGAGAGGCUUUAUCGUGUGCCCAACAUUCGGUUUUCAUUGUCUGCUUGCUUGUUGGUGGCAGACUUUUGCGGAGACCCUGAAGCUGAAACGGUGGCUGUGGAACGGUCUGUUAAGGACAAAGUUCCACUCGGUGAGGACGCCAAUCGGGAUCUGCUUCGAGCACAAAUCCGCGCUAGCAAAGUAGGUCCUUUCAUCGGUCGACUGAGAGAAGUCGUCGGCCGAAUUAACAAGGAACUUUGGCCGGAAGACGAGUCGCGGGAGGAGAUGGAGACCCUAACGAGCCGACUGGAGGAGGUGCCGAACCAAGUGCAAUCUUGGAAGAAAUCGGCAGCGCGGUGCGGUGCUGAUGUUGCGCUGUCGUUGGUCCGAGUCCAUUGCAAGGAGGUGCAGGAAGAUAAGCUGAAAGCGUUGAAGGUCGCCAACACGAAGAAACUUCAAUUCGAAGACUUCAGGGAGACGUUCCUCGAGACUGCCACCCGCAUUGCUGAUGGAAUUGACUUGGACACUUUUGUGGAGUCCUCUAGUCCUGACGCCGGCCCAUCUAACGCGUAAUCAGAUGUUAUGCUCGGUAUGCCGAGUGUUUGCCUGUAAGAUAUUCUGGCCACUUCUGUUGGCCGUCAUACUUUUGGAUCGGUGCGGGUAAGCUUGAUCCGCACCGAGUCCGUUAUCGUUUCUAGACUGUUGGAGUCACAACGAAAACACUUAUUCUUUUGCUUGAAUGCUGUUUGGAGUUGAACACUUAAUGUGUACUCGUAGAAUAUUAGGACUUAGGUGAUUCAUGAUCAGUGCUAAGUUCCCGAGUGUAACGUAUAGAGCACACUCGAAGGAGCGAUUAGUACUUAGGCGAUGCAGGAUCGCAGCUAAGUCCUCAAGUGUGACGUGAAGUGCACACUCAAAGGAAGAUUAGUACUUAGGCGAUGCGUGAUCGCAGCUAAGUCCCCGAGUGUGACGUAAAGUGCACACUCGGAGAUAGUUAAUACUUAGGCGAUGCAGGAUCGCAGGUAAGUUUUUUUUUUGUGACCAUAGUCUGCAACCACGGAAAAACUCUGAAUCUGCAAAAGAAAUUGAAUCUGCUGUAUACUAUUUCUCCAAAACUCGUUCGUUACACUGCUUCAGUCGGCGAUCACGUAUAAAAACGCUUGAGGAGGUCUCCGUUCCAUGCGCGGGGUUCGUCGGUCUCCUUCUGAAUGUUGUAGAGUCUGUAUGCCCCGUUGUUCAGCACCUUUGAAAUGAUAAAAGGACCUUCCCAGGCCGGAGCCAACUUGUGUGGUCUCUGCUGAUCCACUCGGAGCACCAAACCGCCAGCCUGGAACGUGCGGCUUCUGACAUGUCGUGCAUGAAAACGUCGCAGAUCUUGCUGAUAAAUUGUUGAGCGAGUAAGUGCCAUCUCGCGCUCCUCCUCUAGAAGAUCGACUCCAUCUUGCCUUGCUUGUUCUGCUUCGGCUUCGGAGAAGAGUUCGACUCGCGGGGCAUUGUGAAACAGGUCACUCGGAAGGACCGCUUCUGCUCCAUAGACGAGGAAGAACGGUGAUCGCCCUCUUGAUCUGUUCGGAGUGGUGCGGAGACCCCAAAGUACUGAAGGUAACUCGGUUACCCACGCACCAGCAGCAUGUCCUAUCUCUCGCAAGAGUCGAGGCUUCAAACCUUGAAGGAUAAGUCCAUUUGCACGCUCAGCUUGUCCAUUGGAUUGCGGAUGUGCUACGGAAGCAAAAUCCACUCGGAUACCUUGACUCGCGCAGAAACCUUUGAAUCUGUCCGAGUCGAAGUUUGUCCCAUUGUCCGUGAUUAUGCUGUGAGGCACUCCGAAUCUGAAGAUGAUGUCUCUGACAAACUUCACGGCUGUGGAGGCGUCGAGUUUCUUGAUGGGCUUGGCUUCUAUCCACUUUGUAAACUUGUCGACUGCCACCAACAGAUGUGUGUAGCCUCCUUGGCCUGUCUUGAAUGGUCCGACUGUGUCUAAUCCCCAAACUGCAAACGGCCACACAAGUGGGAUUGUCUUUAGUGCAGAUGUUGGCUUGUGAGACUUGUUGGAGUAGAACUGACAGCCUUCGCAUCGAUCGACCAUAGCUUUGGCCAUUUCGUUAGCCUGCAGCCAGAAGAAUCCAGCCCUGAACGCCUUGGCGACGAUUGCUCUUGAAGAAGCAUGAUGGCCGCAGGUUCCUGAGUGGAUAUCCUCUAGUAUCAACUGCCCUUCCUCUGGGGAAAUGCAACGUUGGAGAACGACUGAAACACUCUCCUUAUACAAUUGACCGUCAAUGACAGUGAACGCCUUCGACUUGCGAACUAUUUGUCGGGCUUGGACUUCGUCUUCUGGAAGUUCUUGCCUUAGGAUAUAUGCCAUAAUCGGCACAGUCCACUCGGGGAUGAUUACCAGAAUCUCUGUGAGCAGAUCAACCAUAGCAGGCACAUCGACUUCAGUCGGGUCUGUCGCACUCUUGGGUUGCACUGGCUCUUCCGUGAAGGGAUCUUCUUUGACUGAAGGAAGAUGGAGGUGCUCGAGGCAGACAUCACUCGGGACGGGUCUCCGAGUGCAUCCGAGCUUCGCCAAUUCGUCCGCCGCUUGGUUCUUCAGUCUUGGAACAUGAUGAAGUUCUAGCCCUUCAAACUUCUUCUCCAGCUUCCUGACUGCAUUGCAGUAGGUUGUCAUAGUGGGGUUCCUUACGUCCCACUCUUUCAUCACUUGGUUGACCACCAAGUCUGAAUCGCCUUAGACCAUCAGGCGACGGACGCCGAGUAAGAUGGCCAUGCAGAAUCCGUAGAGAAGAGCUUCAUACUCUGCCUCAUUGUUAGAGGAAUCAAAGUGUAUCUGAAGCACAUACUUGAGCUUAUCACCCUUUGGUGAUACGAUCACAACACCAGCGCUGGAUCCAUUCAACAUCUUAGACCCAUCGAAGAACAUUGUCCAAUGAGCCGAGUAGAUGAGAGUCGGUUGCUGUUGUUCUACCCAUUCUGCUAUAAAGUCAGCCAGGGCUUGAGACUUAAUAGCUUUCUUGGCCUCGAACUUGAUGUCACAGUACAGCAUCUCCAUCGCCCACUUCGCCACUCGGCCUGACGCGUCUCGAUUGUGGAGAAUUUCCGACAAAGGAGAAUCAGAAACGACAGAUACCGAGUGGUCUUGGAAAUAAUGGGCAACCUUCUUUGCAGUCAAAUAGAUCCCAUAGAUAAGCUUCUGAUAAUGGGGAUACCUCUGCUUGGAAGGGGUCAGGACCUCGGAGAUGUAGUACACUGGCCGCUGAACUUUGUAUGCUUUGCCUUCUUCCUCUCGCUCGACUGUAAGAACAGUACUGACGACUUGAUUUGUAGCCGCCAUAUACAGAAGAAGGGGUUCUUUACUGAGCGGAGCAGUAAGAACCGGCUGGGUGGAAAGUAGGACUUUGAGGUCCUCGAACGCGACUUGGGCUUCGUCUGUCCACUCGAAGGUAUCUGAUUUCUUCAUGAGUCGGUACAGAGGAAGUGCUUUUUCGCCGAGUCGACUGAUGAACCUGCUCAAAGCUGCUAAGCAACCUGUGAGUCGUUGAACAUCGUGUAUCCUGACCGGCCUCUCCAUUCGGACGAUGGUCCCGAUCUUUUCGGGGUUAACAUCGAUCCCUCGUUCAGAAACAAAGAAACCGAGUAACUUUCCGCUGGGAACACCGAAUGAACACUUGGCAGGAUUUAGCUUGAUAUCGUACCUACGAAGGUUGGCGAAUGUUUCUGCCAAGUCAGUCAGCAGGUCGGAACCUUUGCGGGACUUGACUACAAUAUCAUCCAUGUAUGCCUCCAGAUUGCGACCGAUCUGGUCGAGGAGACAUUUUUGGAUCAUGCGCAUAAAGGUAGCUCCUGCAUUUUUCAGACCAAAAGGCAUGGUGAUGUAGCAGAAGCACCCAAACGGGGUGAUGAAAGCUGUUUUCAACUCAUCGGGACCAUACAGACGGAUCUGAUGAUAACCCGAGUAGGCAUCAAGAAAUGAUAAACGCUCGCACCCCGCAGUCGAAUCGACAAUUUGAUCUAUGCGGGGGAGCGGAAAAUGGUCUUUCGGGCAGACCUUAUUGAGGUGCUUGAAGUCAAUGCACAUUCGGAGUGACUUGUCCUUCUUGGGCACCAUGACUACAUUGGCGAGCCACUCGGAGUGGUGAACCUUGCGAAUGAAUCUGGCAGCUAGCAGCUUAGCCACCUCUUCUCCGAUUGCCUUCCUUUUGUGCGCGGAGGCCCGGCGCAGGCGCUCUCGGACGGGCCGAGCAGCGGGAUCCACAUGCAGUCGGUGCUCAGCCAACUCCCUAGGUACACCCGGCAUGUCAGAUGGCUUCCAUGCGAAGAUGUCCCAGUUCUCACGGAGGAAUUGGGUGAGCUCGGCUUCCUAUUUGGGAUCCAGGGUGGUGGAGAUGUUCGUCGGGACGGCUGACUCGUCCGUCGGGUGGAUGCUGACCUUCUUAGUCUCUCCUGCCGACUGGAACGCGGACUCAGAAGCUGGCUUCUUUGAGGGCAUUAAGUCGGCGGGGUCGACUGUCUUCUUGUACUCUUCGAGCUCGAGUACAGCCAUCUGCUGGUCGGCGAUCCUCGACCCCUCUUGCAUACACUCCUCGGCUCGCUGGCGGUUGCCGGUGAUGGUGAUAACGCCUUUUGGACCGGGCAUUUUCAACUUCAAGUACACAUAACACGGUCGUGCCAUGAAACUCAUAUAUGCUGGGCGGCCCAGAAUUGCAUGGUAAGCGCUCUGGAAGUCCACCACCUCAAACGUGAGCUUCUCCUUGCGGAAGUUCUUGUCGGAGCCGAAGAUGACCUCCAAUGCGAUCUAGCCGAGUGAUUUGGCCUUCCGCCCUGGGACGACUCCGUGGAACUGCAUAUUGCUCUCGCUGAGUCUGGACAUCGGAAUGCCCAUCCCCUUGAGAGUGUCGGCGUACAUAAUAUUCAACCCGCCGCCGCCGUCCAUUAGGACUUUGCGCAGUCGGACUCCUUCCACCACCGGGUCGAUGACCAGAGCCUGCCUUCCUGGGGUGGGGACAUGUGUUGGAUGAUCCAACUGAUCGAAGGUAAUCGCAGUCUGAGACCAUUUGAGAAACUUGGGGGCAGUCGGAACGGCCAUGUUGACUUCUGUGUUCACUAGCUUCAGUCGACUCUUGCUUUCGACGUCAGCGAAGAUCAUGAGGCUUGCAUGGACUUGGGGGAACGAAUCCUCCUUGUCCUCCUCAUCCUGUUCAGGAUUCUUCUCACUCGGCUGCCCUUCGCUGAAACCCUGGAUCAGGAGGCGGCACUGCCGAGUGGUGUGCUUUGCGUAUAUGGGGUUACCUUCUUCAUCCAUCUUCGUAUGGAUUGGACAAGGCUGGUCCAGGAUGGGAUUGUUGAAAUGCUUUUUCUUGGGGGUGAACUGCACUUUCCCUUUGCCCUUGAAUUUGGCGCUGGUUACAGCUGCAACUUCUGCUUGCGGUGUGGGCGGAUCCUUCGGUUUCUGCUUCCGAGUGUUACCUCCGUCGGGAUCGCCGACUGUCUUGUGUUUACCGCUCCAGAUGCGGUCCUCUUCUUCGCCAUUUGCAUAGCGAGUUGCUAUCUCCAUCAUCUUGCUCAUGGAGAUGUCGCCGGUUCGACCAAACUUCAAGUACAGCUCCCUGUACCGCACGCCUGCCUUGAAGGUGCAGACUGCUUGAUGCCCGGUGACAUUCUCCACCGUGUGGUACAGAGUCGUCCAUCGCUGGAUGAAGUCGCGCAAGGGCUCAUUCGGCUUCUGGACACAGUGCUGAAGCUCCACAAGACCUGCAGGGCGUUUGCACGUUCCUUCGAAGGUUCUGAUGAACACUCGGGCUAGAUCUGCCCAACUGUAAAUGCUUGAGGGGGCCAACUGGUUCAGCCAAGCUCGGGCCGAGCCGUCGAGCAUCAGAGGGAGGUGCUUCAUAGCGACAUGGUCAUCUCCUCCUCCGAUCUGGACCACCACUCGGUAGUCGUCUAGCCAUGUUUCAGGCUUGGACUCUCCUGAGAAUUUACCGAUUCCCGCAGCCAAUCGGAAGUUGGGCGGGAUAUCAGCCGAGCGGAUGGCUCUACUAAAACACUCGGGGCCAGAUACGAUGGCCCUGCUUCCACUCGGACGGUCCAUAUCGCGGCCAUCGCGGUGGGCUCGACCCCUGUCAACUCUUCGCUGGGCGAUUCGGCCCCUUCCGUCGGGUCUUGGGUCGUAAGUGUCGCCGACUGAAUGCCGAUCAUCAUGAUGCCAGGACCCGUAGGGCCCACCCCGCGGAGUGGUGCGUGAGCGACGGCGAUACUGAUGAGAUCCAGGGCUGUGAACCGAUCUAUGCGUGUUUGCAUGGACGAAACUAUUGCGGAUCCGAUUGUGUGACUGGGAGACUGCCGAAUUCUGCUGCUGCGCCGUACGCAACAGGGCUCGGAUUUGUUCGAUUCCCCUUCCUGCCUCUGAAUCAGUCGGCUGGAGGGAAUCGGCAAUCUGAGCAGCCGCGACCAGGUUGAGGAGAGGUGUGCGGAACACCUUCACGUUGCUCCGCCGAGUGUGUCGGCUGGCAGAACGACGAGGCGGACGACGCGCACCGGAUGCUUUGCCAACUUCACCUCGGUCGGCCUGACGAGUAUCUUCAUGGGAGUUGGCCAUGUGUACUUCUGCUGCAGGCCCACGACCCACGUACUCGGUAGGAAGCUCAGUCGGAACCGAGUCCGAGCACUGGGAGCAUGGGGCGACUACAACAGACUCCAGGACUGCCACCUGAGAGGACGCGAACUGGCGCGCUCGGGCAUGCUGCACCCAACGUUGUAGACGCGGACUGCGAGAUCGCCUGCUGCGGCGCAUGACGAAGGUGCAAGCCGGCAAUGGAGCCGAUUGUUGGAGAAGAAGAACGCCGCGAGUGCCAGCACGGAAGUGCGUGGCCCCGCGACGGGGAAGUGCCUCGACGUCGAGAGGUGCAUCCCGAAGCCACGCCGAAUCGUCGACGACGAAGGAGAGAGCGCCGAAGAGGAUCUGGUGACCCAUGCUCGAACCUCCACCGGCCGACAUGAUGAAAGGAAGUAGUUGCAAACUCGCCGGAAGUCGCUUAGACGCCUGCCCCAUGGUGGGCGCCAACUGUCGUGGGUAUAAGNNNNNNNNNNNNNNNNNNNNNNNNNNNNNNNNNNNNNNNNNNNNNNNNNNNNNNNNNNNNNNNNNNNNNNNNNNNNNNNNNNNNNNNNNNNNNNNNNNNNNNNGGGCAUACUUAAGGUCAUGUCCCUUGCGUGGGGUAGUCCUUGGGUAGGACCUGUAGGACAGGCCUAUGACCCUACCCUAGGACUAUGACCCCAUCAAGUGCCAUUAUCAAUAAUGAUAUUGUGUGGAUAUCCGAACCGGAAGAUCAACUUUUUCAAGAAUUUGACCGCCGUCUCCGCAUCGGAAGUUCCAACAGGCUCUGCCUCAACCCACUUGGUGAACUUAUCAACCGCCACCAGCAAAUGGGUUUUCUUGUUGGAUGACAUUUUAAAGGGGCCAACCAUGUCUAACCCCCAGACCGCGAAAGGCCAAGUGAUGGGAAUCAUUCUUAGUUCUUGAGCCGGCACAUGAGCCUGUCGUCCAUAACGCUGGCAUCCCUCGCAUCGACGAACUAUCUCUUCUGCAUCUGCAUGAGCCGUCAACCAAAAGAAACCAUGACGGAAUGCCUUUGAAACCAAAGAGCGUGACCCGGCGUGAUGCCCACAAUCUCCGGAAUGAAUGUCAUUUAGGAUUAUGCAUCCUUCUUCGGAGGAAACACAUCGUUGAAAAACCCCAGAGGCACUCCGCUUAUAUAAUUCGCCAUUGAUGACCACCAUGGAUUUGCUUCGCCGAACAAUUUGGCGGGCCGAAACUUCGUCUGUUGGUAACUCGCCCCGGGCGAGAUAGGCCAGAUAGGGAAGAACCCAAUCCGGCGUAACGUGGAGAGCCGCCACGAAUUGAGACUCAGGAUAUGGUAUCGCCGACUCCUCCUCUGACGGCAAACUUAUGGAGGGAUUAUGCAAAAUAUCCAGAAAAACAUUGGGAGGAACCGGCUUUCGCUGGGAACCAAGACGUGAAAGGGCGUCAGCUGCCUCGUUAAGGCGCCGGUCAAUGUGAUCAACCUGAUAGCCAUGGAAAUGACCCGCCACAUUAGACACAACUCUUCUGUAAGCCACCAUCACGGGGUCUCGAGAAUCCCAAGUGCCUGAAACUUGCUGCGCCACCAGAUCAGAAUCGCCAAAACACCUGACCCGCGUAAGGUUCAUCUCCUUGGCGAGUCGCAAGCCAUGAAGCAAAGCUUCAUAUUCCGCAGCAUUGUUAGUGCACGGAAACAUGAGUCGGAGGACAUAACAGAAUUUAUCUCCUUGAGGGGACACCAGUACCACACCAGCCCCCGAGCCUUCCAGCUGUCUGGAUCCAUCAAAAUAAAUAGUCCAGUAUGUAUGAUCAGGCCUGUCUUCCGGGGCCCGCAACUCCGUCCAAUCAUUGACGAAAUCAACUAAGGCUUGAGAUUUGAUGGCUGUGCGAGGGGUGUACCGUACGUGGUGCGGCCCAAGUUCAAUCGCCCACUUGGCAAUCCGCCCUGUUGCCUCCCGAUUCUGGAUGAUGUCCCCGAGGGGGCGGAACUAACCACCGUGAUGGGAUGCUCUUGAAAAUAAUGCUUAAGCUUCCGACUCGCCAUAAACACCCCAUAAACUAACUUCUGCCAAUGUAGGUACCGUUGCUUGGAAAGAGUUAACACUUCGCUGACAAAAUACACCGGGCGCUGCACUGGGUAUUCCUUCCCUUCCUCCUUCCUUUCAACGACCACCGCCACACUUACUGCUUUAGAGUUUGCUGCAAUAUACAAAAGCAUGGGUUCUUUCUCAGUCGGGGCGACCAAGACCGGCGGGUUGACCAGUUGCCGUUUCAAGGCUUCGAAAGCUUCAUCUGCUUCAUCUGUCCAAACAAAAUGGUCAGAUUUCUUUAGUAAUUGAUAAAGGGGAAUCGCCUUUUCUCCCAGGCGGCUUAUGAAGCGACUUAAAGCCGCAAUGCGACCCGCCAUUCGUUGGACUUGGUUAACAUUUGCCGGUUUUCCAAGGGACGUAACUGCUUCGAUUUUGUCCGGGUUAGCUUAAAUGCCACACUCACACACCAGGAAGCCCAACAAUUUCCCUGCAGGAACACCGAAAACACACUUGGUGGGAUUCAGCUUCAUCUGAUACACCCGCAGAUUAUCGAAAGUUUCCUUGAGAUCCUCAAGUAGCGUCUCCCCCUGGCGGGUUUUAAUCACAAUGUCAUCGACAUAGGCAUGGACGUUGCAUCCGAUUUGGCUGCGGAGGCAAUUCUGGAUGCAACGCUGAUAAGUCGCCCCUGCACUCUUGAGUCCAAACGGCAUGGACACAUAGCAAAAAGCCCCAAAGGGGGUUAUGAAAGCUGUUUUCUCUUGAUCCUCCACGGCCAUCUUGAUUUGGUGAUAUCCAGAGUAGGCGUCCAAAAAGCACAAACGUUCGCAUCCCGCCACCGAGUCAAUAAUCUGGUCGAUGCGGGGAAGAGCGAAAGGGUCUUUUGGACAAGCUCUGUUGAGGUUCGUGUAAUCAAUGCACAUACGGAAGGUACCAUUCUUCUUGAGUACCAAGACUGGGUUAGCCAACCAUUUGGGGUGGAAAACUUCUACGAUGAAUCCGGCGGCUAAGAGACGGGCAACUUCUUCCUCGAUUGCCUUGCGCCGUUCCUCGUUAAACCUGCAAAGAUACUGCUGGAUAGGUUUUGCCUUUGGGUCAACUUUAAGAUGGUGCUCAGCAAAUUCUCUCGGCACACCAGGCAUGUCAGAAGGUUUCCAUGCGAAGAUGUCCCGAUUCUCACGGAUGAAUUCGAUGAGCAUGCUUUCCUAUUUGGGAUCCAGACCCGUCCCAAUGGUGAACUGCUUGGAUGAAUCGUCAGGAACGAAAUCAACCGUCUUAGUGUCAUCCGUUAGAGGGGCGACUCAACAUCUGUCGUUGGCUUCUUUAACGGUGACAUGUCGGCCGGAUCAACAUUUGCCCGAUGAUUUUUGAGCUCCUCUGCAGCGCAGGCGACUUCCGCAUAAGUCGUGUCCCCUUCUUCACAUUCCUUUGCAAUCCUUCUAUCACCAUCAACUAUGAUGGGUCCCUUUGGACCAGGCAUAUUGAGUUUAAGGUAAACAUAGCAUGGGCGAGCCAUGAACCGGGCGUAAGCUGGCCGCCCAAAUAGCGCACGGUAGGGGCUUUUCAAUUUGACCACCUCAAACAUCAGCGACUCACUCCUGUAGUUAUAUGUUGUUCCAAAUGCAACUGUGAGUCUGACUCGGCCUAUGGGGUACGCCGACUUGCCCGGGACGAUUCCGUGGAAUACCAUGGUUGAAGGCAUCAAAUCCUUUUCCAAUAGGUUCAUCCUUUGGAAAGUGUCAAAAUACAAGAUAUUAAUGCUGCUGCCACCAUCCAUUAGCACUUUCGACAAGGUGUGCCCCCCAACUUGGGGAGCUACGACCAACGCUAAGUCGCCAGGAUUGUCAACUCUUGGCGGAUGAUCCUCCCUACUCCAUGAUAUGGUCUGCCCGGACCAGUGGAGAUACCUGGGAAGUGCCGGCUCAGACACACUGUACGCCCGGUGACUCACCUUUUUAUCACACCUGCAAGCAUUGGUGGUGAAAACAUGGUACUGCCCAUUGUUUAAUUGUUUGGGGUUGUUGCGAAAGCCGCCGUUGUCAUCCUGGCCCUGCGAAGCCCCCUGUGGAGGCGGUUGCUGAAAAACUCCGGGCGGGUUAUACCGCCGCUCGUGAUGCACCGGAUACUGGCCGCUGCUCGGCUGCGAGCCCCCCUGAGCCACCGGCUCGGGAAAACCACCAAAUGGGUUCUGACGUUGGUUGGGGGCAGCAAACUGCUCCUGCCGUUGGUCCGGGUCAGGGUUUUGCCCUUUUUUGAUCGCCUCUGCCCGAAACUCCCGCAUCACGUAACAGUUCUCCCAGGAAUGAGUCGCCAGUCUGUCUGCCAUGGCAUGGUGCGGGCAACGGCCCUUGAGUAACUCUUCAUAGCUACGCGGCUUUUUACCACUGUAUCCCCUGUUUUUCUUCUGGCGUUGGUUGCCAUUGUUGGUGUUGGUAUUGGCGACUAAAUCCGAAGAUUCCUCUUGCUGCCUUCUCUUUCCAUUGGCUCCCUGAUUGUGGCGGUUACGUCCCUGGAACCGGGUAUGUUUUUUGGAUGACUCGCCCUUCUUUGGCGAGUUAACUUUACCAUCCUCACCGGGAUCUUUGGUGGCGUCCACUUCAGCGUAUCUAGUGAGGGUAUCCAUUAGCUCCCCCAUGUCUUGGACCUUUCGCUUGAGUCACCCCAACUUCUGCACCAGAGGUUCAUAGUGGCAAUUCUGCUCGAGGAUCAACACCGCCUGAGCCGCCGUAAUACCGUCUGAUGAAUGAAUAAUUUCCGCGACCCGCCGUGACCAAUGGUGUGCCGACUCAUCGGGGCGCUGAACGCAGUGCUGCAGAUCGACAAUUGUCAUUGGACUUUCGCAGGUUCCUCGGGAGGUUUUGAUGAAGCGCUCUUUCAAUUCAGCCCAGGUUUGGAUGGAGUUGGGGGGUAAGUUUUUUAACCAAGUGCGUGCUGACCCUUCGAGCAUCAUCGUGAAGUAUCUGGCGCAAACUGCUUCGUUUACGUCGAGCAUGUCCAUGGCGAUUUCAUAACUCUCAACCCACGACGCUGGCUCAAGGUCCGGGGUGUAGUUAGGCACCUUUCUUGGUAUUUUAAAAUCCUUGGGCAUUCGUUCGUUGCGAAGGGCGGGGGCGACUUGGACGUUCGGGAGAUCCCGGGCCGGCGGGUUUUGAUGAUCAGGCGGGUUGUCCUGGGGGAUGAGUCGCGGUCCGCUGUUUACAGCGGGCUGGUCCUCUGGCCGAGUCCUGGUAUGACUCGCCUGGGAAGUGGAAUGCAGCCUAUCUAGGCUAUGUGAGAACUGGGCGUUUUGAACCACCGUCGUCUUCAACAUCUCAAUGGCGUUCCUUGCUUCUAUCUCGGCGGGAGUAUUGUCGUGAAUCGGAAGAGAUCCCAAAUGGCGAGUUGCAGCAAGGACGUUGUCCACUGGGUUGGAAAAGUGACCUUGAGGUGUCCGGAAUCGGGGAAUGCGAUCCUCAAUUGGUUGAACCGGCGGGUUAGGUGGUUGGCCUGGUCCUCCCCCUGGGGCAGCUCCCACCCCGGGAGUUCGUGGAGUAUCGAACAGGCAGGUCGGGUUGAGACAGCGGGCAGGCGACCCUGGUGCCUCCGCUGAUGGACGGCGUCAGAUGCACGCUGGUGUCUUUCGAGUCGCCAGUUGUCAGUAUUUAAGCGAGUUCUCUCGGCGGUAAUUUGAGCUUGUCGGGUCUCGAUCCUGGCGGACUCCACCUCGGCAUCCCGAUGAGCCUUUGCCAUUGCUUCUCUUAGUUUCACCAAUUCCGCGUUUACUGCCUCCUGGUUUCCGGUGUGAUGGGGGUCGCCAUAAGCCUUGUAAUUUCCGCUACUAAUUCCACCAAGACAGCGGUCGGGCUUCUAGAUGUCUCGCUAGUUCCAUCCCCGCCUGUCGGGUUUGGCGAGGGUUGAGUCGCCCCAGCCAUGUAAAUGGCGAUCUGGCGGCGGGUUCGGUCAAGGACUUCGGGGUCCAUGGCCAGCGACAAGCCCCCAAGACAAUCCCCAUGUAGAGACUGAAUUGAAUCUGAAUCGCCCAUGGACGAUUCGUCAUCGGUGUUGAUUGGUGUGGUUUCUUGGGUCGCUGAGUGUUCUGGUUCCUCCGAUCCCUGCGUGAACCCAACAAAGACUGGGCGAGUUAGAUUUGGCGUCAUUACUGGACGGACGUACCUGGCCGGCUCGACUAUGUCGGUGGAGAUGUCCGGCUCAGGCACGGAUGAUCCGAUCAUGCCAAUGAAGACGUUGAUCUUGCCGAAGGGGACCGUGUAACCAGAUUCGAUUGAAUCUGCCUCGGGCCCCCAUAGCAGGUUGUUGAUGUAGUACUUCCCACGGCGGCUCCUAGUCAUGAGCCCCGUCGCGUAGGUCCCAAACCCUGGUAGGGCUCCCUUUGAGAACUCAACUCCACCAUGCGCAGGCCCCACGGUGGGCGCCAACUGUCGUGGUUUUGUCACGGCAGAUGUCCUCGUGAAAGGACUUAGUAUUGGAGCCAUCGCACUGUGGCGACUCAAAGGGGUUGAACGGGAGUGAGACGGCGAUUUACCCAGGUUCGGCCCCUCGUGAGGAGGUAAAGGCUUACGUCCUGCUUUGAGUUGUAUUGAUGGAGUUUCGAUUACAAGGAGGGCGUAACUCGCCAGACCUAGUACUCGAUGAUAUCUAACCUGCCCUCUUCUUCCCUGGGACUCGCCUUUAUAUACAGGUCGACUCCCUAGGGUUUACAAGGGUCCUUUCCCUUCUACAAACCGUGACUCUUACAAUCUCUAAGUCGCCAUCUUUCCAAAGCUUGGAAACCUUCCGGCGGUUGUAAACCGCCAUACAACCUUCGGUCUUGCUAGGCCAAGGCCCAAACCAUGCUUAGACGAAUCGCCAGAUUUGGUGACCCGGCCCAACUAGGGUGGGUUAUCAAUAGAUAAUAGCCCCAACAAUGAUCCCUCACUAAAAUUUCAAGAAAUGUGUUUCCCCUAAGUGUGCACUGUUGCGAAGGAUCGUUGUUUCAAAGCACCAUGUGAUGGUCGCAUGUCAUAGAUUCUAAUGUUCGCAUACAACGGGUGUAAGCCAGAUUUAUACACAUGAAACACUUAUGUUGACUUGACGAGCCUAGCAUGUAUAGACAUGGCCUCGGAACAUGGGAGAUUGAAAGGUCGAACAUGAGUCGUAUUGUUGAUGCGAUCAACAUGGAGAUGUUCACCAUUGAUGACUAGUCCAUCUCACGUGAUGAUGAGAGACGGCCUAGUCGAUAUGGAUCAUGUAUCACUUAGAUGACUAGAGGGAUGUCCAUCUGAGUGGGAGUUUAUUAAAUAAUUUGAUUAGAUGAACUUAAUUAUCUUGAACAUAGUCAAAAGGUAUUUGCAAAUAAUGUUGUAGCUUGCGCUGUAGUUUUACUGUUUUUGAUGAGAAAACUUAGUUGAAAGCUGAUAGCAGCAAUUAUGCGGACUCGGUCCGUUAACUGAGAAUUGUCCUCAUUGAUGCACAUAAGGCCUAUGUCCUUAAUGCACCGCUCUGUGUGUUGAAUCUCGAGCGUCGUCUGUGGAUGUUGCGAACAUCUGACAUACACGUUUUUGAUGAGUACGUGAUAGUUCAGUGCGUAAUGCUUAACGACUUAGAAUUGAGGCGGCGGAGACGUUUUGAACGUCACUGAACAUAUGAGAUGAAAUUGGGAUUUCAUGCUCGUGCAAGAUUCUUUGUCUACAAAGUAAGACCUCCGAAAUUGGGAUUUCAUGCUCACGGAACAUAUGAGGCUCAAGAGAUGAAAUUGGGAUUUCAUGUUCGUGCCCUUGUUGAGAGGUAUGAGACCUCCGACAAGAUUCUUUGUCUACAAAGUAAAGGAGAAAAUCUCAAUCAUUGAGCAUGUGCUCAUAUUGUCUGAGUGCUACAAUCAUUGCUUGAAUCGAGUGGGAUUUAAUCUUCCAAAUGAGAUAGUGAUGGUUCUCCAAAGUCACCACCACCAAGAUACUAGAGCUUCGUUAUGAACUAUAACAUAUCAGGGAUAGAUAUGAUAAUCCUUGAGCUAUUCAUGAUGUUUGACACCGCGAAAGUAGAAAUCGAAAAGGAGCAUCAAUUGUUGAUGGUUAGUAAAACCACUAGUUUCAAGAAGGGCAAGGGCAAGAAGGGAUACUUCAUGAAACGACUAACCAAUUGCUGCUCUAGUGAAGAGAUCCAAGGUUGAACCCAAACCCGAGACUAAGUGCUUGUGUAAUAAGGGGAACAGUCACUGAAGAGGAACUAUCCUAGAUACUUGGUAGAUGAGAAAGCUGGCAAAGUCGACAAAUGUAUAUUGGAUAUACAUGAUAUUGAUGUGUACUUUACUAGUUCUCCUAGUAGCACUAGGGUAUUAGAUACUGGUUCAGUUGCUAAGUGUUAGUAACUCGAAAUAAAAGCUACGGAACAAACGGAGACUAGCUAAAAGCGAGGUGACAAUGUGUGUUGGAAGUGUUUCAAAGGUUGAUGUGAUCAAACAUCGCACGCUCCCUCUACCAUCGGGAUUAGUGUUAAACCUAAAUAAUUUUUAUUUCGUAUUAGCAUUGAGCAUACAAAUGAUUGGAUUGUGUUUAUCGCAAUACAAUUAUUCAUUUGAAGAGAAUAAUGGUUACUCUGUUUAUUUGAAUAACACCUUCAAUGGUCUUACACCUAAAAUAAAUGGUUUAUUGAAUAUCGAUCGUAGUGAUACACAUGUUCAUAAUAUUGUUGCCAAAAGAUACAAAGUAGUAAUGAUAAUACCACUUACUUGUGGCACUGCCACUUGAGUCAUAUUGGUGUAAAACGUAUGAAGAAGCUCCAUGCUGAUGGAUCUUUGGAGUCACUCGUUUUUGAAAAGUUUGAGACAUGCGAACCAUGUCUAUUGGUAUAAAACGCAUGAAGAAGCUCCAUGCUGAUGGAUCUUUGGACCCACUCAUUUUUGAAAAGUUUGAGACAUGUGGACCAUGUCUGUUGGUAUAGACACAUGAAGAAACUCCAUACAAAUGGAUCGUUUGGACUCACUUGAUUUUGAAUCACUUGAGACAUGCAAAUCAUACCACAUGGGCAAGAUGACUAAAGGCCUCGUUUUCCAGUGAGAUGGAACAAGAAAGUAACUUGUUGGAAGUAAUACAUUUUGAUGUGUGCAGUCCAAUGAGUACUAAGGCACGCAGUGGAUAUCAUUAUGUUCUUACUUCAGAGAUGAUUUGAGUAGAUACUAGUAUAUUUACUUGACGAAAUACAAGUCUGAAUUAUUGAAAGGUUCAAGUAAUUUCAGAGUGAAGUUGAAGUUCAUCGUGACAGGAGGAUAAAAUGUCUAUGAUAUGAUCAUAGAGAUGAAUAUCCGAGUUGCGAGUUUGGUAAACAUUUAAGACAAUGUGGAAAUUGUUUCACGUGAAAAUUGUUUCACAACUCAUGCCACCUGGAACACCAUAGUCUGAUGGUGUGUCCAUAUGUCAUAGUCGUGCCCUAUUAGAUAUGGUGCAUACUAUGAUGUUUCUUAUCAAAUUACCACUAUCGUUUAUGGGUUAGGCAUUAGAGACAACCGCAUUCACUUUGAAUAGGGCACCACAUAAAUUCCGUUGAGACAACACCGUAUGAACUAUGGUUUAGAGAAACCUAAGCUGUUGUUUCUUAAAAGUUUGGGGGUGCGAUGCUUAUGUGAAAGAGUUUCAACCUGAUAAGCUCGAACGCAAAGCGGAUAAAUGCAUCUUCAUAGGACACCUAAAACAGUUGGGUAUACCUCCUAUCUCAGAUCUGGAAGAAAAGUAUUUGUUUCUAGAAACGGGUCCUUUCUCGAGGAAAAGUUUCUCUCGAAAGAAUUGAGUGGGAGGAUGGUGGAAACUUGAUGAGGUUAUUGAACCAUCACUUCAACCAGUGUGUAGUAGGGCGCAGGAAGUUGUUCUUGUGGCGCCUACACCAAUUAAGGUGGAAGCUGAUGAUAGUGAUCAUGAAGCUUCGGAUCAAGUUACUACCAAACCUCGCAGGUUGACAAGGACGCGUACUAUUCCAGAGUGGUACAGUAAUCCUGUCUUGGAUGUCAUGUUGCUACACAAUAAUGAAUCUACGAGCUAUGGAGAAGCGAUGGUGGGCCCGACUUCCGACAAAUUGCUCGAGGCCAUAAAAUCCGAGAGAGGAUCCAUGUAUGAAAACAAAGUGUAGACUUUGGAAGAACUACUUGAUGGUCACAAGACUUUUAACUACAGAUGGAUCUUUAAAAGGAAGACAUACGAUGAUGGUGAAAAAUCACCAUUAAGAAAGCUCGACUUGUCGCAAAGAUGUUUUCGACAAGUUCAAAAAGUUGACUACGAUGGGACUUUCUCACUCGUAGCGAUGAUAAAAUUCUGUUGGAAUUAUGCUAGCAGUUGUUGCAUCAUUUAUGAAAUCUUGGAGAUCGGAUGUAAAAUAUUGUUUCCUCGAUGGUUUCCUUGAGGAAAGGUUGUAUCUGAUACAACCAGAAGGUUUUGUCGAUCCUAAAGGAUGCUAACAAGUAUGCAAGGCUCGAGCGAUCCUUCUAUGGACUGGAGCAAGCAUCUUGGAGUUGGAAUGUAUGCUUUGAUGAGAUGAUCAAAGAUUUUGGUUUUAUACAAAGUUUAUGAGAAACUUGUAUUUCCAAAGAAGUGAGUGGGAGCACUAUAGAAUUUGUGAUGAGUAUAUGUGGUUGACAUAUUGUUGAUUGGAAAUAAUGUAGAAUUUCUGAAAGCAUAAAGUAGUUUUUAAUGGAAAACCUGGAUUAAGCUACUUGAACAUUGAGCAUCAAGAUCUAUGGAGAUAGAUCAAAGUGCUUAAUAGAACUUCCAAAAAAUGCAUUCCUUGACAAGUUUUUGAAGGAGUUCAAAAUAGAUCGGCAAAGAAGGAGUUCUUGGUUGUGUUGUAAGGUGUGAAUUUGAGUAAGACUCAAAGCCCGACCAUGACAGAAGAAAGAGAAAGGACGAAGGUCGUCCCCUAUGCUUUAGCCGUAGGCUCUAAAGUAUCCCAUGCUGUGUACCGCACCUGAAGUGUGCCUUGCCAUGAGCCAGUCAAGCGGUACAAGAGUGAUCCAUGAAUGGAUCACUCGACGGCGAUCAAAGUUAUCCUUAGUAACUAGUGAACUAAGGAAUUUUUUCUCGAAAAUGAAGGUGGUAAAAAGAGUUCAUUGUAAAGGAUUACGACGAUGCAAGAUUUCUCACUAAUCCAUAUGACUCUAAGUAGUAAACCGGAUUCAUAUAGUGGAGCAGUCAUUUUGAAAUAGUUCCAAAUGCUGCAUGGUAGCAACAUCUAUAGAAUGAAAUAGAGAUUUGUAAAGCACACACGAAUCUGAAAGGUUCAGACCCGUUGUCUAAUAAACUUCUCUCACAAGCAAGACAUGAUAGAACCCCUGAACUGUAUGGGUGUAAGAUUCAUUGCAAUCACAUAGUGAUGUGAACUAGAUUAUUGACUCUAGUGAAGGGAAGACUGUUGGAAAUAUGCCCUAGAGGCAAUAAUAAAUUGGUUAUUAUUAUAUUUCCUUGUUCAUGAUAAUUUUCUAUUGUUCAUGCUAUAAUUGUAUUAACCGGAAACCAUAAUACAUGUGUGAAUACAUAGACCACAACAUGUCCUUAGUGAGCCUCUAGUUGGCUAGCUCGUUGAUGAAUAGAUGGUCAUGGUUUCCUGAUCAUGGACAUUGGAUGUUAUUUAUAACGGGAUCACAUCAUUAGGAGAAUGAUGUGAUGGACAAGACCCAAUCCUAAGCAUAGCACAAGAUCGUGUAGUUCGUCUGCUAGAGAUUUUAUAAUGUCAAGUAUCAUUUCCUUAGACCAUGAGAUUGUACAACUCCCGAAUACCGUAGGAGUGCUUUGGGUGUAUCAAAUGUCACAACGUAACUGGGUGAUUAUAAAGGUCCACUACAUGUAUCUCCGGAAGUGUCUGUUGGGUUGUACGAAUCAAGAUUGGGAUUUGUCGCUCCGUGUGAUGGAGAGGUAUCUCUGGGCCCACUCGAUAAUGCAUCAUCGUAAUGAGCUCAAUGUGACUAAGGAGUUAGCCACGGGAUGAUGUGUUACAGAACGAGUAAAAGAGACUUGUCGGUAACGAGAUUGAACAAGGUAUAGGGAUACCGACGAUCGAAUCUCGGGCAAGUGUCAUACCGGUAGACAAAGGGAAUUCCAUACGGGUUUGAGUGAAUCCUUGACAUCGUGGUUCAUCCAAUGAGAUCAUCAUGGAACAUGUGGGAGCCAACAUGGAUAUCCAAACCCUGUUGUUGGUUAUUGACCGGAGAGAUGUUUCGGUCAUGUGUGCAUGUUUCCCGAACCCGUAGGUUCUACACACUUAAGGUUAAGUGACACUACAAUUGUUAUGGGAAUUGUUUAUGUGGUUACCGAAGGUUGUUCGGAGUCCCGGACAUCCCGAGGAGUUCCGGAAUGGUCUGGAGAUAAAGAUUUAUAUAUGGGAAGUUCAGUCUCAAUAGCCGGAAAAGUUUUGGGGUUUAUCGGUAUUGUACCAGGCUACCGAAAGGGUACCGAGGGUCCACCUGUCCUGGAGGGCCACAUGGGCUGAAAGGGGAGAGGAACCAGCCCCUGGUGGGCUGGUGUGUGCAACUGCAACAAAAGACCUUCCAACGGCGCCAGAAAUAGGCACGUCGACGGGAGAAUACUUGGCUUGAUGUUUCUACUGCGGCUACGCCUUAAGAGACUAUCUAGGCAAGUAUGCAAAGGAUUUCCCACGCGGCCUUGGAGCCUUGCGUGUCUUGUUCCCUCGAAGCGGAAAGGGUGAUGUAGCGUAGCGGUGGUAAGUAUUUCCCUCAGUUUGAGAACCAAGGUAUCAAUCCAGUGGAGGAGUAUCUCAAGAUCCUGCACAAACACAAGAACUUCCUCCCAACGCUAUGAAGGGGUUGUCAAUCCCUUAUAGAUUGUUUGCCAAGUGAGAACUGAAAGCAACAAAGUAACAAAGAAAAGUAAAAGCGGAGAUGUAAACGAUGGAUGUGAAUAGACCCGGGGGCCGUAGUGUUUACUAGUGGCUUCUCUCAUGAAAGCAAGUAGACGGUGGGUGAACAAAUUACUGUCGAGCAAUUGAUAGAACCACGCAAAGUCGUGACGAUAUCUAUGCAAUGAUCAUUUCUAUAGGCAUCACGUCCAAAACAAGUAGAUCGAUACUGUCUGCAUCUACUACUAUUACUCCACACGUCGACCGCUAUCCAGCAUGCAUCUAGUGUAUUAAGUCCAUAAGAACAGAGUAACGCCUUAAGCAAGAUGACAUGAUGUAGAGGGAUAAUCUCAAACCAAUGAUAAAAACCCCAUCUUUUUAUCCUUGAUGGCAAGUACUUGAUAUGUGCCUUGCUGCCCCUACUCUGGGAAAGGUCACCACAUGGCAGAACCCAAAACCAAGCACUUCUCCCAUUGCAAGAAUCAUAGAUCUAGUUGGCCAAACAGAACCCAAGACUCAGAGAGACUUACAAGGAUAUCAAAUCAUGCAUAUAAGAAAUCAGCAAAGACUCAAAUAUAAAUCAUAGAUAAUCUGAUCACAAAUCCACAAUUCAUCGGAUCUUGAAACACACCGCCAAAGAAGAUUACAUCGGAUAGAUCUCCAUGAAGAUCAUGGAGAACUUUGUAUUGAAGAUCCAAGAGAGAGAAGAAGCCAUCUAGCUACUAACUACGGACCCGUAGGUCUGAAGUGAACUACUCACGAGUCAUUGGAGGGGCGAUGAUGAUGAUGAAGAAGCCCUCCAACUCCGAAGUCCCCUCCGGCAGGGUGCCGGGAAGGGUCUCCGAAUGAGAUCUCGCGGAAACGGAAGCUUGCGGCGGCGGAAAUGUAUUUUCGAGGCUCCCCUGAUUUUUUCAGGAAUAUUUGGGAAUUUAUAGGCCAAAGAUCUAGGUCAGGGGCGGCCAGGGAGGCCACAAGCCGGGCCACCGCCGCCUCCCCCUGGUGUUGGAGUGGGGGCUUGUGGGAUCCCUGGAGCCCACCUGGCUUGGCCCAAAAUCCCCCUGGUCUUCUUCCGUUUGGGAAAAAUCAUUUCGGGGCUUUUCUUCCGUUUGGACUCCGUUCCAACAUCAGAUCUAAAAAGGGUCAAAAACACGGAAAAACAUGAAUUGGCACUUGGCACUGAAUUAAUAAGUUAGUCCCAAAAAAGAUAUAAAAGUUACAUAAAACAACCAAAGAAGACAUGAUAACAGCGUAAAACCAUCAAAAAUUAUAGAUACGUUUGAGACGUAUCAAGCAUCCCCAAGCUUAACUCCUACUCGUCCUCGAGUAGGGAAGUGAUAAGAAUUAAUUUUUAUGCUUUCAUGCUACCUAGCAUAGGUGUCCUUUGUAAUUCCUCUUAUGUGACGUGAAUGUUCAGAUCCAUUAGAUUCAAAACAAUAGUUUGCUAUUGACGUGGAAACGAUAAUAAUUCAAGCAAACUAGCAAAGUAAUCAUGAACUUUCAAAAUAAGAAGGCCAAAAGAAAGUUAUCCCUACAAAAGCAUAUAGUCUGGCUAUGCUCUAUCAUCAUUGCACAAUGAAUUUAAAUCAUGCACAACCCCGGUAUUGUCCAAGUAAUUGUUUCANNNNNNNNNNNNNNNNNNNNNNNNNNNNNNNNNNNNNNNNNNNNNNNNNNNNNNNNNNNNNNNNNNNNNNNNNNNNNNNNNNNNNNNNNNNNNNNNNNNNNNNNNNNNNNNNNNNNNNNNNNNNNNNNNNNNNNNNNNNNNNNNNNNNNNNNNNNNNNNNNNNNNNNNNNNNNNNNNNNNNNNNNNNNNNNNNNNNNNNNNNNNNNNNNNNNNNNNNNNNNNNNNNNNNNNNNNNNNNNNNNNNNNNNNNNNNNNNNNNNNNNNNNNNNNNNNNNNNNNNNNNNNNNNNNNNNNNNNNNNNNNNNNNNNNNNNNNNNNNNNNAAUGAGUAGGGAUUGCCAUACAAUUGGUGCACUAGAGCUACGAGUAUGUGAAAGCUCUUAAAGAAAACUAGUGGGUGUGCAUCCAACUUGCUUGCUCACGAAGACCUAAGGCAAUUUUGAGGAAGCCUAUCAUUGGAAUAUACAAGCCAAGUUAUAUAAUGAAAAUUUCCCACUAGAUAUAUGGUGGUGACAAAACGAGAGACCCUCAAUCAUGAAGAUCAUGGUGCUUAAUAUGCACAAGUGUGGAAAAGGUGGUAGCAUUGUCCCUUCUCUCUUUUUCUCUCAUUUGUUUUUAAUUUUGGUGGGCUCUUUGGCCUCUUUUUUUUGUCGGCUUCUUUGGCCUCUUUUAUUUCCUCACAUGGUACAAUGCUCCAUUAAUGAUGAUCAUCACACUUUCAACUCAAAACUUAGAGUAACAAUGACUCUAUAUGCAAUGCCUUCGGUAGUGUACCGUGGCAAUGAUCUAGCAUGGCAUAGACAUCAAUGGAAACAUCAUGCUAGCUAUCUUACAAUCAUGCAAUGGAAUGUAGACGUGGUGGCACAUGUCAUGGUGGUAGUUGCAUGGCAAUAUAUCUCGGAAUGACUUUGAAAAAGCCAUAGUAGGUAAGUAUGGUGGCUGUUUUGAGGGAGGCUAAUGGUGGGUUUGGUGCACCGCCGAAAGUUGCACGACACUAAGAAGAUAGUGAUGGUGGAAGGUGAAAGUGCAUCUAAACCAUGGAUUCAACAUUAGUCAUGAAGAACUCAUAUACUUGUUGCAGAAGUUUUAUUAGUAAUCGAAACAAAGCAUUCAACGCAUACUCCUAGGGGAAGGGUUGGUAGGUAUAAACCAUCGCACGAUCCCAACCGCCAUGCAUACUCCUACGAGAAUCACUAACUUCAACACAAGUAUUUCUAGAUCCACAACACCUUCCUAGCAUGACUUUAAUAUUACCAUAACCACAACUCAAAACUAAUUGAGAUGAAUCAAACUUCUCUAACUAUUCAAUGCACAUGAAGGUGGAAUUUUUCGUAUCCCUUUGGAUAACUACCCCUUUUGAGACUACUUUCAAAGCAUAGAUCAACUACCAAGCCACGCACCGUUGUGCUCUAAAUAUAUAAGUGAAGCACAUAGAGCAAAAGUAUCUAGCUCAAAAGAUAUAAGUGAAGCACAUGUGAGCUGAAUUGUCUACCAAAAGAUAUAAGUGAAGCUCGACAAAAUCACGGCGUGUGCAUGUCUCUCUCUCUAGGUGUGCAGCAAGGAUGAUUGUGAUACAACAAAAAUAAAAGACUCCUACGAUACAAGACGCCCCAAGGAAAAACACAAAACAUGUGGUGAAUAAAUAUAUAUAGCCCCAAGUAACGUUACCGAUGGAUUGAAGACGAGAGACGGGAUGCCUUCCCGGGGCAUCCCCAAGCUUAGGCUUUUACGGCAUCCUUGAAUAUCUUGGGGUGCCUUGGGCAUCCCCAAGCUUGCAUGCNNNNNNNNNNNNNNNNNNNNNNNNNNNNNNNNNNNNNNNNNNNNNNNNNNNNNNNNNNNNNNNNNNNNNNNNNNNNNNNNNNNNNNNNNNNNNNNNNNNNGGGGAAACUUCCCUCCCGGAGGGGGAAAUCGUCGCCAUCGUCAUCACCAACACUCCUCUCAUCGGAGGGGACUCGUCACCAUCAACAUCUUCAUCAGCACCAUCUCAUCUCCAAACCCUAGUUCAUCACUUGUAACCAAUCUCCAUCUCGUGACUCCGAUUGGUACUUGUAAGGUUGCUAGUAGUGUUGAUUACUCUUUGUAGUUGAUGCUAGUUGGAUUACUUGGUGGAAGAGUUUAUGUUCAGAUCCUUGAUGCUACUCAUUACCUCUCUGGUCAUGACUAUGAUUAUGCUUCGUGAGUAGUUACUUUUGUUCCUGAGGACAUGGGAUAAGUUAUGCUAAUAGUAGUCAUGUGAAUUUGGUAUUCGUUCGGUAAUUUGAUAUGUUGUAUGUUGUUUUUCCUCUAGUGGUGUUAUGUGAACGUCGACUACAUAACACUUCACCAUUAUUUUGGCCUAGAGGAAGGCAUUGGGAAGUAGUAAGUAGAUGAUGGGUUGCUAGAGUGACAGAAGCUUAANNNNNNNNNNNNNNNNNNNNNNNNNNNNNNNNNNNNNNNNNNNNNNNNNNNNNNNNNNNNNNNNNNNNNNNNNNNNNNNNNNNNNNNNNNNNNNNNNNNNAUCGUGGGACUGAUCGGGGAUUGUUCGCGGGGCGGAUCGAGGGACGUGAGGACGUUCCACUACAUCAACCGCGUUCUCUAACGCUUCUGCUGUACAAUCUACAAGGGUACGUAGAUCACUCAUCCCCUCUCGUAGAUGGACAUCACCAUGAUAGGUCUUCGUGCGCGUAGGAAAAUUUUUGUUUCCCAUGCGACGUUCCCCAACACCUUAAGUGUGUAGACCCUACGGGUUCGGGAAGCAUGUAGACAUGACCGAGACACCUCUCCGGUCAAUAAUCAACAGCGGGGUCUGGAUAUCCAUGUUGGUUCCCACAUGUUCCACGAUGAUCUCAUAGGAUGAACCACGAUGUUAGGGAUUCAAUCAAUCCCGUAUGCAAUUCCCUUUGUCUACCGGUAUGAUACUUGCCCGAGAUUCGAUCAUCGGUAUCCCUAUACCUUGUUCAAUCUUGUUACCGACAAGUGUUUUUACUCGUUCUAUAACACACCAUGCCAUGCCUAACUCCUUAGUCACAUUGAGCUCAGAAUGAUGACGGAUUACCGAGUGGGCCCAGAGAUACCUCUCCAUCACACGAAGUGACAAAUCCCAGUCUCGAUUCGUACAACCCAACACAUACUUUUGAAGAUACAUGUAGUGCACCUUUAUAAUCACCCAGUUAUGUUGUGACGUUUGAUACACCCAAAGCACUCCUACGGUAUCCGGGAGUUGCACAAUCUCAUGGUCGAAGGAAGUGAUACUUGACAUUAGAAAAGCUUUAGCGGACGAACAACACGAUCUAGUGCUAUGCUUAGGAUUGGGUCAUGUCCAUCACAUCAUUCCCCAAUGACGUGAUCCCAUUAUCAAUGACAUCCUAUGUCCAUGAUCAAGAAACCACGAUCAUAUAUUGAUCAACGAGCUAGCCAACUAGAGGAUCACUAGGGACACAUUGUGAUCUAUAUAUUCACACAUGUAUCAUGGUUUCCGGUUAAUACAAUUAUAGCAUGAAUAAUAGACAAUUAUCAUGAACUAGGAAAUAUAAUAAUAACCACUUUAUUAUUGCCUCUAGGGCAUAUUUCGAACAGUCUCCCACUUGCACUAGAGUCAAUAAUCUAGUUACAUUGUGAUGAAUAGAACACCCAUAGAGUUCCGGUGCUCAUCAUGUUUUGCUCAUGGAAGAGGAUUGGUCAACGGAUCUGUCACAUUCAAAUUCGUAUGUACUUUACAAAUAUCUAUAUCUCCAUCUUGGAUGUCUCCACGAAUGAAGUUGAAGCGGCGAUUGAUGUGCUUGGUCUUCUUGUGAAACCUGGGAUCCUUGGCAAUGACAAUAGCACCAGUGUUGUCACAGAACAGAGUUAUUGGACCUGACGCACUGGGAAUAACUCCUAGGUCAGUGAUGAACUCCUUCAUCCAGACUCCUUCUUGUGUUGUUUCCAAAGCAGCUAUGUACUCCGCUUCACAUGUAGAUGUCGCCACUACACUUUUCUUGCAACUGCACCAGCUGACUACCCUAUUAUUCAAAAUAUACAUGUAUCCGGUUUGUGACUUGGAGUCAUCUGAAUCUGUGUUGAAGCUAGCAUCAACGUAACCCUUUACGACGAGCUCUUCGGCACCUCCAUAAAUGAGAAACAUAUCUUUAGUCCUUUUCAGUACUUUAGGAUAUUCUUGACCGUUGUCCGGUGAUCCACUCCUGGAUCACUUUGGUACCUCCCUACCAAACUUACGGCAAGGUUCACAUCAGGUCUGGUACACAACAUGGCAUACAUGAUAGAGCCUAUGGCUGAAGCAUAGGGGACGGUACUCAUCUUUUUUCUAUCUUCCGUCGUGGUCGGGCAUUGAGUCGUACUCAACCUCACACCUUGUAAUACAGGCAAGAACCCCUUCUUUGCCUUAUCCAUAUUGAACUUCUUCAAUAUAUUGUCAAGGUAUGUGCUUUGUGAAAGACCAAUGAGGCAUCUCGAUCUAUCUCUAUAGAUCUUGAUGCCUAAUAUGUAAGCAGCUUCUUCAAGGUCCUUCAUUGAAAAACUCUUAUGCAAAUAGGCAUAAGAUAGAAGGUAAAAUAGGAACCGAUCCUUUCUAGAGAAAGAGGUUCUUGGCAACAAAGAUCUUGCCUUCGGAUCUAAGAUAGAAGGUAUACCCAAUAGUUUCCUUAGGGUAUCCUAUGAAGACGCAUUUUUUCGAUUUGGGUUCGAGCUUCUCAGGUUGAAGUUUCUUCACAUAAGCAUCACAGCCCCAAACUUUCAGAAAUGACGGCUUAGGUUUCUUGCCAAACCAUAAUACAUACGGUGUCAUCUCAAGGGAUUUAGACGGUGCCCUAUUUAAAGUGAAUGCGGCAGUUUCCAAUGCAUAUCCCCAAAAUGAUAGCGGUAAAUCUGUAAGACACAUCAUAGAUUGCACCAUAUCCAAUAAAGUGCGAUUACGACGUUCAGACAAACCGUUACGCUGCGGUGUGCCAGGCGGCGUUAGUUGUGAAAUAAUUCCACAUUUCCUUAAGUGCGUGCCAAACUCGUAACUCAAAUAUUCUCCUCCAAGAUCAGUCGUAAGAACUUUCUUUUCUUGGCACGUUGAUUCUCCACCUCACUCUGAAAUUCCUUGAACCUUUGAAAGGUUUCACACUUGUGAUUCAUUAAGUAAACAUACCCAUAUCUACUUAAAUCAUCAGUGAGGGUGAGAACAUAACGAUAGCCACUGCGAGCCUCAACGCUCAUUGGACCGCAUACAUUGGUAUGUAUUAUUCCCAAUAAGUUGGUUGCUCGCUCCAUUGUUCCGGAGAACGGAGUCUUUGUCAUCUUGCCCAUGAGGCACUGUUCGCAUGUGUCAAAUGAUUCAAAAUCAAGAGACUCCAAAAGUCCAUCUGUAUGGAGUUUCUUCAUGCGCUUGACACCGAUAUGACCAAGGCGGCAGUGCCACAAGUAUGUGAGACUAUCAUUAUCAACUUUAUAUCUUUUGGUACUCACACUAUGAAUAUGUGUAACAUCAUGAUUGAUAUUCAUCAAGAAUAAACCAUUGACUAACGGGGCAUGACCAUAAAACAUACCACUCAUAUAAAUAGAACAACCAUUAUUCUCAGAUUUACAUGAGUAGCCAUCUUGCAUCAAGCGAGAUCCUGAUACAAUGUUCAUGCUCAAAGCUGGUACUAAAUAACAAUUAUUAAAGUUUAAAGCUAAUCCCGAAGGUAGAUGUACAGGUAGCAUGCUGACGGCGAUCGCAUCGACUUUGGAACCAUUCUCGACGUGCAUCGUCACCUCGUCCUUUGCCAGCCUACGCUUGUUCCACGGUUCCUGCUUAGAGUUGCAAAUGUGAGUUACAGCACCGGUAUCAAAUACCCAGGAGCUACUACGAGCGCUGGUAAGGUACACAUCAAUAACAAGUAUAUCACAUAUAUCUUUGAUGUUACCGGCCUUCUUAUCUGCUAAGUACUUGGGGCAAUUCCGGUUCCAGUGAGCGGUUCCCUUGCAGUAAUAGCACUCAGUCGCAGGCUUGGGUCCUUUCUUGCCUUCUUCCCGGCAACUGGUUUACCCGGCGUGGCAAAUGUUUUUCUGUCUUUCUUGAAGUUCAUUUUACCCUUGCCUUUUUUGAAACAGGUGGUCUUAUUCACCAUCAACACUUGAUGUUCUUUCUUGAUUUCUACCUUCCUAGAUUUCAGCAUUGAAUACAACUCGGGAAUAUUCUUUUGCAUCCCUUGCAUGUUGUAAUUCAUCGCAAAGCCUUUAUAGCUAGGUGGAAGCGACUGGAGGAUUCUGUCAACGACCGCAUGAUCCGGAAGUUCAACUCCCAGCUAAGUCAAGCGGUUGUGCAACCCAGACAUUCUGAGUAUGUGCUCACUGACAGAACUAUUCUCCUCCAUCUUACAGCUAAAGAACUUGUGGGAGACUUCAUAUCUCUCGACCCGGGCAUGAGCUUGAAAAACAAGUUUCAGCUCCUCGAACAUCUCAUAUGCUCCAUGUUGCUCAAAACGCCUUUGGAGCCCCGGUUCUAAACUGUAAAGCAUGUCGCACUGAACCAGAGAGUAGUCAUCACUACGCGAUUGCCAGGCGUUCCUAACGUCAUGGUCUGCCGCGAGAAUGCGAGGAUCACCUAGCGGUGCAUUAAGGACAUAUGCCUUCUUGGAACCAGUGAGGAUGAGCUUUAAGUUACAAGCCCAAUCCGCAUAGUUGCUCCCAUCAUCUUUCAGCUUGGUUUUCUCUAGGAACGCGAUGAAGUUGAAUGAGACAUUUGCGUUAGCCAUUGGAUCUACAAUAUUUGUAAAUACAAUUUUAGACUAAAUCCAUGAUAAUUAAGCUCAUCUAAUCAAAUUACUAAUGAACUCCCACUUAAAUCGACAUCCCUCUAGUCACCCAAGUGUUACAUGAUCCACGUCGACUAGCCCGUGUUCGGUCAUCACGUGAGACGGACUAGUCAUCAAUGGUGAGCAUCUCCAUGCUGAUCGUAUCAUCCAUACGACUCAUGUUCGACCUUUCGGUCUCCCGUAUUCGAGGCCACGUCUAUACAUGCUAGGCUCGUCGAGUCAACCUAAGUGUUUUGCGUGUGUAAAUCUGGCUUACACCCGUUGUAUGCAAAUGUUAGAAUCUAUCACACCUGAUCAUCACGUGGUAUUUCGAGAGAACAAUCCUUCGCAACGGUGCACACUUAGGGGAAUACUUAUCUCGAAAUUUUAUGAGGGGCCAACUUAUCUUUGCUACCUUCGUUCUAAGCAAUAAGAUGAAAAACAUGAUAAACAUCACAUGCAAUCAUAUAGUGACAUGAUAUGGCCAAUAUCAUCUUGCUCCUUUGAUCUCCAUCUUCGGGGCACCAUGAUCAUCAUUGUCACCGACAUGACACCAUGAUCUCCAUCAUCAUGAAAUCCAUCAUUGUGUAUUUGCGAAUUCGUCUCGCCAACUAUUACUUCUACUACUAUAGUUAACGGUUAACAAUAAAGUAAAGUAAUCGCAUGGUGUUGCAUCUCAUACAAUAAAUUAAGACAACUCCUAUGCUCCUGCCGGUUGUCAUAAUCAUCGACAUGCAAUUAGUGAAUCCUAUUACAAGAACAUGAUCAAUCUCAUACAUCACAUAUGUAACAUCACAUCCUUUUGGCCAUAUCACAUCACAUAACAUACCCUGCAAAAACAAGUUAGACGUCCUCUAAUUGUUGUUGCAAGUUUUACGUGGAUGAUUAGGGUUUCUAGCAAGAACGCUUCUUACCUACGUGACAGCCACAACGUUGAUAUGCCAAUGCUAUUUACCCAUCCACCACCUCUCAUUCAUAGAGGAAGCACUCAUAACACACAUACACUUUCUGUUGGAAAUAUGCCCUAGAGGCAACGAUAAAUAGUUAUUAUUAUAUUUCCUAUUUAACGAUAAUCAUUUAUUAUCCAUGCUAUAAUUGUAUUGAAUGAAAACAUAGAUACAUGUGUGGAUACAUAGCAAAACAAUGUCCCUAGCAAGCCUCUAGUUGGCUAGCCAAUUGAUCAAGGAUAGUCAAGGUUUUCUGGCUAUGUGCAAGUGUUGUCACUUGAUAAUUUGAUCACAUCAUUAGGAGAAUCAUGUGAUGGACUAGACCCAAACUAUGAACGUAGCAUAUUGAUCGUGUCGUUUUAUUGCUAUUGUUUUCUGCAUGUCAAGUAUUUGUUCCUAUGACCAUGAGAUCAUAUAACUCACUGGCACCGGAGGAAUACCUUGUGUGCAUCAAACGUCACAACAUAACUGGGUGACUAUAAAGGUGCUCUACAGGUAUCUCCAAUGGUGUCAGUUGAGUUAGUAUGGAUCAAGACUGGGAUUUGUCACUCCGUGUGACGGAGAGGUAUCUCGGGGCCCACUCGGUAAUACAACAUCACACACAAGCCUUGCAAGCAAUGUGACUAAGUGUAAGUCACGGGAUCUUGUAUUAUGGAAUGAGUAAAGAGACUUGCCGGUAACGAGAUUGAAAUAGGUAUGCAAAUACCGAUGAUCGAAUCUCGGGCAAGUAACAUACCGAAGGACAAAGGGAAUGAGAUACGGGAUUAUAUGAAUCCUUGACACUAAGGUUCAACCGAUAAGAUCUUUGAAGAAUAUGUAGGAUCCAAUAUGGGCAUCCAGGUCCCGCUAUUGGAUAUUGACCGAGGAGUACCCCGGGGCAUGUCUACAUAGUUCUCGAACCCGCAGGGUCUGCACACUUAAGGUUUGAUGAUAUUUUAGUAUAGUUGAGUUAUAUGUGUGGUUACCGAAUGUUGUUUGGAGUCCCGGAUGAGAUCACGGACGUCACGAGGGUUUCUGGAAUGGUCCGAAAACGAAGAUCGAUAUAUAGGAUGGUUUCAUUUGGUUAUCGGAAAGUUUCGGGCAAUUCCAACAGUGUACCGGGAGUGACGAAUGGGUUCCGGGAGUUCAUCGGGAGGGGCCCACCCACCCAAGAAUGAGCCCAAGGCCAUAGGGUGACGCCACAAGUCCCUAGUGUGCUGGUGGAGUCAGCCCAAGGGGCCCAUGGCACCACUUAAAGAAAUACCAAAAAGAAAAGAAAAAGAAAAGGAAAAAAGGGGAGGUGGGAAGGAAGGGGAGGACUCCUUCCCCAAACCGAAUUGGAGGAGGAGUCCUCCUCCUCCUUGGACGGUGCACCCCUUGAGGGCUUGGCCAUCAAGACAAGCCUCCUUCCCCUCCCUCCUAUAUAUAGUGGUCUUUUAGGGCUGAUUUGAGACAACUUUUGCCACGUGCAACUCAACCCUAGACCACAUAGUUCUACCUCUAGAUCGAAUUUCUGCGGAGCUCGGGCGGAGCCCUGCAGGGGUAGAUCAUCACCACCACCGGAGCGUCGUCACGCUGCCGGAGAACUCAUCUACUUCUCUGUCUUGCUUAUUGGAUCAAGAAGGUCGAGAUCAUCAUUGAGUUGUACAUGUGAUGAACGCGGAGGUGUCGUCCAUUCGGCACUAGAUCGGAACGGAUCGUGGGACGGAUCUCGGGACGGUUCGUGGGGCGGAUCGCGGACAUGAAGAUGUUCCACUACAUCAACUGUGUUUCUUAACGCUUCCUGUUGUGCGAUAUACAAGGGUACGUAGAUCCAAAUGUCCUCUCAUAGAUGGACAUCACCAUGAUAGGUCUUUGUGUGCGUAGGAAAUUUUUUGUUUCCCAAUCAACGUUCCCCAACAGUGGCAUCAUGAGCUAGGUUCAUACGUAGAUGUUAUCUCGAGUAGAACACAAAAGGUUUUGUGGACGGUGAUGUUCGAUUUGCUACCCUCCCUAGCGUUUUCUCGAUUUAGCGAUAUUGUUGGAUUGAAGCGGCCCGGACCGACAUUACUCGUACGCUUACGAGAGACUGGUUUCAUCGACUAACAUGCAACCUCGUUGCAUAAAGAUGACUGGCGGGUGUCAUUUUCUUCAACUUUAGUUGAAUUGGUUUUGACCGAGGCGGUCCUUGGAGACGUUAAAUAGCAAUUUGCACAUCUCCGUUGUGGGUUUUGCGUAAGUAAGAAGCGACCAUACUUGAUACCCAUAGCAACCACGUAAAACAUGCAACAACAAAUUAGAGGACGUCUAACAUGUUUUUGCGGGGUAUGCUUGUGAUAUGAUAUGGCCAAUGACAUGAUGUGAUAUAUUGGAUGUAUGAGAUGAUCAUGUUGUAAUAGUUAAUAUCGACUUGCACGUCGAUGCUACAGCAACCGGCAGGAGCCAUAGGGUUAUCUUUAAACUAACGUUUGUGUUUGCAGAUGCAUUUACUAUAUUGCUAGGACGUAGCUUUAGUAGUAAUAGCAUAAGUAGCACGAUAACCUCAAUGGUGACACGUUGAUGGAGAUCAUGAUGAUGGAGAUCAUGGUGUGGCGCCGGUGACAAGAAGAUCGUGUCGGUGCUUUGGUGUUGGAGAUCAAGAAGCACAUGAUGAUGGCCAUAUCAUGUCACUUAUGAAUUGCAUGUGAUGUUAAUCCUUUUAUGCACCUUAUUUUGCUUAGAACGACGGUAGCAUUAUGAGGUGAUCUCUCACUAAAAUUUCAAGACAAAAUUGUGUUCUCCCCGACUGUGCACCGUUGCUACAGUUCGUCAUUUCGAGACACCAUGUGAUGAUCGGGUGUGAUAGACUCAACGUUCACAUACAACGGGUGCAAAACAGUUGCACACGCGGAACACUAGGGUUAAGCUUGACGAGCCUAGCAUGUGUAGACAUGGCCUUGGAACACAUGAGACCAAAAGGUUGAGCAUGAAUCGUAUAGUUGAUAUGAUUUGCAUAGAGAUGCUUACCACUGAAACUAUUCUUAACUCACAUGAUGAUCGGACUUGAGUUAGUGAAUUUGGAUCAUGUACCACUCAAAUGACUAGAGAGAUGUACUUUUUGAGUGGGAGUUUAGCAAGUAAUUUGAUUAGUUAAACUCUAAUUAUCUUGAACAUAGUCUAAGUCCACGUUGAAAUAUUUGUGUUGUAGAUCAAUGGCUCAUGCGACAGUCACCCUGAAUUUUAAUACGUUCCUAGGGAAAGCUAGGUUGAAAGAUGAUGGAAGCAACUUUGUAGACUGGGCUCGUAAUCUUAAGUUGCUCCUGCAAGCUGGGAAGGAGGAUUAUGUCCUUAAUGCUGCGCUAGGAGAUGAACCACCCGCUACGGCUGACCAAGAUGUUAAGAACACUUGAUUAACACGUAAGGAGGACUACUCAGUAGUUCAAUGUGCAGUCUUGUAUGGCUUAGAGCCGGGACUUCAACGUCGCUUUGAGCGUCAUGGAGGAUUUGAGAUGUUCCAGGAGUUGAAGUUUAUCUUUCAGAAGAACGCCCGGAUCGAGAGGUAUGAGACCUCUGAUAAAUUCUAUGCUUGCAAGAUGGAGGAGAAUUCGUCUGUCAGUGAACAUGUGCUCAAAAUGUCUGGAAAAUCAAACUGUCUAGCUGAGCUCGGGAUUGAACUCCCGCAAGAGGCUAUCACUGACAGAAUUCUUCAAUCACUGACACCAAGCUACAAGAGCUUUGUGUUGAACUAUAACAUGCAAGGGAUGAACAAGUCACCCGGCGAGUUAUUCGCGAUGCUGAAAUUCACAGAGUCAGAACUCCGUAAAGAGCAUCAAGUGUUGAUGGUGAAUAAGACCACUAGUUUCAAUAGAAACGGCAAAGGAAAGAAGGAUAAUUCCAAGAAGAGCGGAAGGCCUGUUGCCAAUCCGACGAAGAAACCCAAAGUUGGACCUAAGCCUGAAACAGAGUGUUAUUAUUGCAAGGGUAUGGAUCACUGGAAGCGCAACUGCCCCAAGUAUUUGCCUGAUAAGAAGGCGGCCAAGGAAAAAUCAGGUAUAUUCGAUAUACAUGUUAUUGAUGUGUACUUAACGAGCUCUUGUAGUUUUGCCUGGGUAUUCGAUACCGGUUCUGUUGCUCAUAUUUGCAACCCGAAAUAGGAACUAUGGAAUAAGCGAAGGCUGGCGAAGGAUGAAGUGACGAUGCGCGUAGGAAAUGGUUCCAAGGUUGAUGCAAUCACCGUCGGCAUAGUUUCACUUCAGUUACCAUCAGGAUUAGCUAUGAACUUAAAUAAUUGUUAUUUAGUGCCUGCGUUACAGCAUGAACAUUAUAUCUGGAUCUUGUUUAUUGCAAGACGGUUACUCGUUUAAGUCAGAGAAUAAUGACUCUUCUAUUUCUACGAGUAAUAUCUUUUAUGGUCAUGCACCCAAUGUGAGAGGAUUGUUAAUAUUGAAUCUUGAUAGCGGAUAUACACAUAUACAUAACAUUGAGACCAAAAGAGCUGGAGUUAACAAUGAUAGCGCCUUGUUUUUGUGGCACUCCCGCUUAGGUCAUAUUGGUGUAAAGCGCAUGAAGAAACUCCAUUCCGAUGGACUUUUGGAGUCACUUGACUUUGAUUCACUUGACACGUGCGAACCAUGCCUCAUGGGCAAGAUGACUAGGACUCCGUUCUCCGGAACAAUGGAGUGUGCAAGUGACUUAUUUGAAAUCAUACAUACCGAUGUGUGUGGUCCGAUGAGUGUGGAGGCGCGCGAUCGGUAUCGUUAUUUUCUCACCUUCACUGACGAUUGAGUAGAUAUGGUUAUUUCUACUUGAUGAAGCACAAGUCUGAAACGUUUCAGAAGUUCAAGCAAUUUCAGAAUGAAGUCAAAAAUCAUCGUAACAAGAAGAUCAAGUUCCUACGGUCUGAUCGUGGGGGUGAAUAUCUGAGUUUCGAGUUUGGUGCUCACUUAAGAAAAUGUGGAAUUGUUUCACAGUUGACACCGCCUGGAACACCACAGUGUAAUGGUGUGUCCGAACGUCGUAAUUGUACUUUAUUAAAGAUGGUGUGAUCUAUGAUGUCUCUUACCGAUUUGCCGUUAUCGUUUUGGGGUUAUGCAUUAGUGUGACACCCUGAAUUUGAUGCUAUAGUAAUCUGAGGAUUAAACUAAUCCAAUUAUGAUCACUGUUGGAAUCAACCCUGAUUCAAAUCUCUUGCAAUUCAAAAUCAUUUGAAAAGUGAAAUUUAAAAGUUUUGCAAACCAGUAAAUAAAAAUCAUGCAUAGGUUUCAAAUAUUCGCUCAGAAUUUCUAGAAAUGCAAAACACAUCUUUGCAAAUGUUUAGGUGCCCCUAAAACCAUUUAACAGAUUCGAGAACAAUUAUUAAGUGCCUUUUGGGAUUAUAUUAUUUUCUAUCAUUUUCAAAAGGUCCCCAAAUUUAAUUGUGGCUAUACAAAUAUUGCAAUGCACAUAUUGGGCAUGUUCACUUAUUGUUGUAAUGGUCAUUUUUUACUAAUCUUUAAAACAUAAUAGUCUAAUUAAAAAGGUUUUAAAAAAUAAUAAAAAUAAAUCCCCGGUCCAACUAGGCCAAUCGGCCGAGCAGGCCGGCCAACCCCUACAACCCAUCCACCUGGGGGUAUAAGACCCCCAGGGAAACCCUAGCGCUACCCCCUCCCAUUUUUCCCACCCCGCCGCCAGGGAACCGAGCCCCUAGCUCGAUCCCCACCAACCCUCCCGCGCCAGACCCCCAACUCCCCUCGAUCUCUCUCCCUCCCCUCGUUUCCCAGUAUCAGACCUAAGCCCCCACCGAGCCUCUCCCUCACCCCCUCGUCAGCCGUGUCUCCCUCCCCACCGAGCAGCUCGAGGGCCUCCCCUCGCCGGCCACCACCACCGGCCCGGGCUCCUUCUUCGACCCCCCCUCAUCGGCCCUCCUUCACUCCCGUGCCGGAUCCACCGCGCCGCCACGUCGCCUCGCCCGCGACCCUACACCCGCCCCGCUGGCACCCUCUCCCCUGGAGGCUUCCCUCGACCCGGUCGAUCUAGGCCAUUCCCGCCACCGCUGCCGGCCACGGCGGGCACCACCUCGCCCUCUCCCCAGUCGGCUUUGUCAAGCCUCGCCGCUCGCCUCCUCUCCAACGCACGUGAGCCCCUCGGGCUCCUCCCACCCCUCUCAUCUCCCUCCACUUCGUCUACCACUCCGCCGACCCCGACCCCAUGAGCCUCUAGCCGCUGCGCUGCCCCUUGCCGGCCACCGCUACAACUGCGCAUGCUCAGCCGUGCAUGCCCCCCCCCGCUCGCUGCUAUUAUGCAUUGCUGCUGUGCUGCGCUACCUGUUGUUGCUUUGUGCUGCUGCUUCCCGCUGGCGCUGCCCCGCGAGCAUCCCGGUGCGCCUCCUACCGCCUAUCGCCCGCACUCGCCACCCCUCCCUACUCCCUGUGGCGACAAUAGCUCUUUCCCCGUUGGCGGCCCUCGCCACCUCCCCAUCGGCUGCUGAGGGUUGUGACAACCCUCGCGUUGUUUUGGUUAAUGGGGAUUGAAGCCCCCCACUAACCCAACUCACACAUGAGGCCCACACCCCCUACUAAUUAAAAUGUUUUAAUAAUAAUAAUAAUAAUAAUAACAUAAGUAAAUAAUUAUUAAUUAACUUAAUUAGAGUAAUUAGAUGAAUUUAACAUUAGAUAAGUUAAGCUAAGUAUGACAUGUGGGCCCAUCCAAAUUUUAGAAUUAAUUAAAUCUCUUAUUUAAACUUGAUAUUUAUUUUAGAUUAAAUAGACAGUGACAUGUGGGUCCAUCCCCCUAAAUUAGUUAAUUAAAUUAAACUAAACCCUAUUUAAACCUGAGUCUCUGUCACAAGGGCCCCACGAGUCAGUUCGACCAGUCAACUGUUGAUGUCANNNNNNNNNNNNNNNNNNNNNNNNNNNNNNNNNNNNNNNNNNNNNNNNNNNNNNNNNNNNNNNNNNNNNNNNNNNNNNNNNNNNNNNNNNNNNNNNNNNNNNNNNNNNNNNNNNNNNNNNNNNNNNNNNNNNNNNNNNNNNNNNNNNNNNNNNNNNUCAUGUUGAUGUCAUAAUUGCUUUUAAUCAAUUUAAUUAAAUCUGUUUUUAAUUCCUAAAUAUUUAAUAAAACUUUAAAAAAUAAUAUAAAACAAUUCGUAAGUCAGAUCAAAAUAUUUUUAACAUGAAAGUUGAUCAGCAGAACGAGACGAACCCGGAUACACGGUCCGUUCGUUUGUCACGCGUCCCUAGCAUAGCAAACAUGGAACUUUUCCAUCAUUUCUCGUCCGACUAGUAGUAGCCAGAGACCCAGAAAAUAUCAUCAGAUAUUCUUCCGAUCCGUCUAUGGCGGAUGUUGGUGCGUUAGCUCAUGUCUAGCUUGCAUCUUGCCAUGUCAUGCAUUGUGUUGCACCGUUGCUAUUAUUUAUUGUUUCUUCCCCCUCUUCUUACCGGUAGACCCCGAGACUGACGCUGCUGCCGGGUACAUCUACGACCAUGCAGAUCAGUCCUUUGCCGCAGAGCAGCAAGGCAAGAAAACCCCCUUUGAUCAUUCCUAUAUCGCCUAUGUCUUUCUUCCUACUGCUUGCAUUAGUAUUUUGCUAUUGUUGUAGUUAGCUCCUAUAUCUGAUGCAUAGCCUAUUUUUGAUGAACUGCUGUUUUCAGUACUGUACUUUAAAUCUUCUUAGUAUAGGUGGAGCAGUCACCCCCUCUGACCCCGUAGUGCAGUUGCCCCGCUUGUUUUCAGAUCUCGUUCCCUGAUCGAUGAGCCAGACCCGACACAACAUAUACACCCCCCUUAGUUGUACGACGCUACAGAGAUACUAUCGGGAACCGAGGGUGACACCUCGCUAAGUACUCCUGAUGAUAUCUCUGUAGUAUAGCUAGUCGGUCGUGGUUAUGGAGGGUGAUUCCUCUUUCACCAUUCCCGACGAUGCCUCUGUCGUGCAACCCCUCAAGUCUGGGACUAAUACGUCUCCAUCGUAUCUACUUUUCCAAACUCUUUUGCCCUUGUUUUGGACUCUAAUUUGCACGAUUUGACUGGAACUAACCCGGACUGACGUUGUUUUUAGCAGAACUGCCAUGGUGUUGUUUUUGUGCAGAAAUGAAAGUUCUCGAAACGUCCUGAAAAUUUACGGAGAAUAUUUCUAGAAAAUUUGAAAAAUACGUGUGCAAAGAUCCACCGGAGGAGACGGGCCAGUGGGCCACAAGCCCUGUAGCCGCGGCCUCCCCCCUAGUCGCGGCUACCAAGCUUGUGGGGCCCACGUGGCUCCGCCGCCCCUAAUUCCAGCGCUAUUUAUUCCCUUUCGUCCCGGAAAAAAUCAAGAUAGAGGAGUUCAUCGCGUUCCACGAUCCAGAGGCGCCGCCACAUCCCGUUCUUGCCCUGGAGGGCAGAUCUGGAGUCUGUUUUGGGCUCCGGAUCAAGGAGAUCGUCGCCGUCGUCAUCAUCAACCUUCUUCCCUCUCCAAUUCCAUGAAGCUCUUCAUCGUUCGUGAGUAAUCUAUUCGUAAGCUCGCUGGGCGGUGAUGAGAUCUAUCAUGAAAUCGAGUUAGUUUUGACGGGGAUUGAUCCCUAGUAUCCACUAUGUUCUAAGAUUGAUGUUGCUACUACUUUUCCAUGCUUAAUGCUUGUCACUAGGGCCCGAGUGCCAUGAAUUGAGAUCUGAAAUUAUUAUGGUUUCACCAAUAUAUGUGUGUUUUAGAUCCGAUCUUGCAAGUUUUAGUUACCUACUAUGUGUUAUGAUCCGGCAACCCCGGAGUGACAAUAACGAGAACCAUUCCCGGUGAUGACCAUAGUUUGCGGAGUUCAUGUGUUCACCAAGUGCUAAUGCGUUGGUCCGGUUCUUUAUUAAAAGGAGAACCUUAAUAUCCCGUAGUAUCCAUUUGGACCCCGCUGCCACGGGAGGGAUGGACAAUAGAUGUCAUGCAAGUUCUUUUCCCUAAGCAUGUAUGACUACACACGGAAUGCAUGCCUACAUCACAUUGACGAACGGAAGCUAGCCACAUAUCUCUCCGUGUUAUAACUGUUGCAUGAUGAAUGUCAUCCAACAAAUCACCGAUCCAUUGCGUACGAGUUUGUCCCACUUCUGCUAUUACUACUGUUGCUGUUACUUGCUUUGCUCUGCUACUGUUACUUGCUUUGCUCUGUUGCUGUUACUUGCUUUGCUCUACUGUUGUUACUACUGUUGCUGCUAUUGUUACUUGCUUUGUCCUGCUGCUGCUGUCACUACUAUUGCUACUGCUGUUAGUUGCUACUGCUGCUACUUGCUACUGCUGUCACUAUUGAUGUUCCUUGCCACUGUUGUUACUCGUUACACUGCUACUACCUACUACAAUACUUUUCUGGCGCCAUUAAUACUUCAGUUAGGAAUAAUUUGCCGUCAACAGAUUCUUUCCUAGCACCGUUGCUAUCAUACUACCUUUGCUGCUUAUAUCCUGCUUGCAGAUACUAAUCUUUCAGGUAUGGUUGAGCCGACAACUCAACUGCUAAUACUGGAGAAUAUCCUUUCACUACCAUCGUGUCGAACCAACAAAUUUGGGUUGAAUACUCUACCCUCGAAAACUGCCGCGAUCCCACACUCUAGUGGGCCAUUGCAACACAAUUGCUAAUUGUUGAGCAACUGGAAGCAGCUCUUUUCUGGCGCCGUUGCCGGGGAAGGGAAGCAGGGACCCCCGAGGGUGAUUCCUCUAAGCCCACCUUGACGGAUACAUCGUUCGUAAUCCAAUGAGGGUGAUACCUCGGAUUCCCCCCGGUGUUACAACCACACAGUUACUCGAUCAUGUUACUCGUAUCAUUGGUGAUUAGUUGUUAAGACGGGUGGAUUCCCGUGAGAUUGUGUCGAUGGCCUAAUUAAAAUGUUAAUAGAUUUGGGUAUUUGAUCUGGGUUCGUUGGAGACCUUUUCGCACUAACCGUCUGCGUGGGAAGAAUUAUGGGUACUCGACGUCGCAGUAUCAGCCGAAGCUCUUCAGACGUCAGCGAUGAAGCAGCGCGCGCCCCAGUGGUCCUGAGAUGCAUCGCGCUUGUGGUUAAAGGGUGCUAGGACUGACGUCGGCCUCCCUCGUAUCAUGUAGGAGCGCGGAGGGGACCUGGGCCCACGAACCCUCUAUGCUUAGGAUUAAGACCGGCGGGCUGGCCUCGUUGCUGAGCUUAGGUGGGGCUGCGACGUGUAGAUAUUCCAAGGCCGGGCAGGACCCAGAAAAGUGUGUCCGGCCAGAGUGUUAUCGAGCGCGUCGGUACAUGUGCUGCACCCCUGCAGAGAUGAAAAUUAGCUAUUCGAAUAGCCGUGUCCACGGUUACAGGACGACUUGGAGUUGUGCCCUGAUCUUUGAUACGUCUCCGUCGUAUCUACUUUUCCGAACUCUUUUGCCCUUGUUUUGGACUCUAAUUUGCAUGAUUUGAAUGGAAGUAACCCGGACUAACGCUGUUUUCAGCAAAAUUGCCAUGGUGUUGUUUUUGCACAGAAAUAAAAGUUCUCGGAAUGACCUGAAAAUUAACGGAGAAUUUUUCUGGAAUUAAUGAAAAAUACUGGCGCAAGAAUCAGCGGGAGAGGUGGAGCCGUGCGCCCACAAGCCCACCAUGCCCCCCCUGGCCGAGCCUGGCAGGCUUGUGGGGCCCACAAAGCUCCACCGCCUCUCAAUCCAGCUCUAUAUAGUCCGUUUCGUCCGGAAAAAAUUCAGAGAGAAGGAUUCAUCGCGUUUUACGAUACGGAGGUGCCGCCACCUCCUGUUCUUCAUCUGGAGGGCAGAUCUGGAGUCCGUUCUGGGCUCCGGAGAGGGGAGAUCGUCGCCAUCGUCAUCAUCAACCUUCCUCCAUCGCCAAUUCCAUGAUGCUCUUCACCGUUCGAGAGUAAUCUCAUCGUAGGCUUGCUGGACGGUGAUGGGUUGGAUGAGAUCUAUGAUGUAAUCGAGUUAGCUUUGACGGGGAUUGAUCCCUAGUAUCCACUAUGUUCUCAGAUUGAUGUUGCUACUAUUUGCCAUGCUUAAUGCUUGUCACUAGGGCCCAAGUGCCAUGAUUUUAGAUCUGAACCUAUUAUGUUGUCGCCAAAAUAUGUGUGUUUUAGAUCCUAUCUUGCAAGUUGUAGUCACCUACUAUGUGUUAUGACCCGGCAACCCCGGAGUGACAAUAGCCGAAACCACUCGUGGAGAUGACCAUAGUACGAGGAAUUCAUGUAUUCACCAAGUGUUAAUGCGUUGGUCCGGUUCUUUAUUAAAAGGAGAACCUUAAUAUCCCGUAGUUUCCAUUAGGACCCUGCUACCACGGGAGGGAUUGACAAUAGAUGUCAUGCAAGUUCUUUUCCCUAAGCACGUAUGACUACAUAUGGAAUACAUGCCUACAUUAGAUUGACGAAUGGGAGCUAGUUACAUAUAUCUCCGUGUUAUAGUUGUUACAUGAUGAAUUGCAUCCGGCAUAGUCAUCCAUCACCGAUCCAAUGCCUACGAGUCUCUUACUACUGGUCCUUGCUAUGUUACUUUGUCGCUACUACUGUCACUGCUGCUACUGUUACUCUGUUGCUAUUGUUCUUGCUUUGUUGCUACUGCUGUCACCUUGCUGCUACUGGUUACUGUUGCUACUGCUGCUAUGAUACUACUUUGCUACUGAUACUUUGCAGCAGACACUAAAUCUUUCAGGUGUGGUUGAAUUGACAACUCAACUGCUAAUACUUGAGAAUAUUCUUUCGCUUCCGCUUGAGUCGAAUCAAUAAAUUUGGGUUGAAUACUCUACCCUCGAAAACUGUUGCAAUCCUCUAUACUUGUGGGUUAUCAAGACCUUUUUCUGGCGCCAUUGCCAGGGAAGCACAACUAUAUUCUCUGAGUCACUUGGGAUUGACGUCUGCUGGUCACUAUGAGGAAUCCGAAAGAUCCAAGAAUAGAAAUCUUGCCCUCAACUACGAGGACAGGUAAGGAACUGCCAUCUAGCUCUGCACUUGAUUCACCUUCAGUUAUGAGUAAGUUUGCGACAUCGCCUCCUCCUAGAAAUCUUGAUAUGUUGCAUGUGCUUGAUGAUGCUACUUCUGCUGCCCAUGAUGCUUAUGAUGCUAUGCUUGAUACUGCUUUGCCUGAUGAUGCCAUGCUUGAUACUGCUUUGCCACUAGGUGCAUUCCUUGAUGCACAAACUGCUAGAUGUGAUGAUACUUCUGAAACUGCUGAUACUAUUGAAGUAGAACCUGCUAUUUUCCCUGUUAGAACUAGCUCUCCUAGACAUAAAUUGCUUGAUAAGCCUGAGCAUUAUGUUAUGGAGGGAGAGAUAGCUGAGGACUUUCUUGCGUGUAAGGAUAGCUAUGAUGUUGAGAAAUCACUGCUCAAGUGGAAAGAAAAAUCUCUAAACGCUAGGAUGAAAUACGACCCGAAGUUUGCUACUUCGCCUAUCUUUGUGACCGAUAAGGAUUAUGAAUUCUCUGUCGACCCUAAGUUAAUCACUCUGGUCAAAUCAGAUCCUUUUCACGGUUAUGAGUCUGAAACGGUUGUAGCCCAUCUUACCAAACUGCACGAUAUAGCCACCCUAUUCACUAGUGAGGAAAAGAUCCGCCACUAUCUAUAUCCUCAAGUUGUUUCCUUUCUCGCUAAAGGAUGAUGCUAAGACUUGGUUCACUUCUCCUAGUUGUGUGCGUAGCCCCCAGAAUAUGGUCUACUACUUCUCUGAAAAAUAUUUCCCUGCCCAUAAGAAGAAAGCUGCCUUGCAGGAAAUAUAUAACUUUGCUCAAGCUGAAGAAGAGAGUCUCCCACAAGCUUGGGGGAGGCUCGUCCAGCUACUGAAUGCUUUGCCUAAUCACCCUCUUGAGAAGAAUGAAAUACUUGAUAUCUUCUAUAAUGGACUUACCGAUGCUUCUAAAGACCACCUAGAUAGUUGUGUUGGUUUUGUUUUUAGGGAACGAACCGUAGAACAAGUUGAGAUCCUAUUGAAUAACAUAUUGUGCAAUGAGAAUGCUUGGACUAUUCCCGAACCACCUCCUAAGCCAACUCCGAAGAAAAGAGGUAUUCUAUUCCUCAGCCCUGAAGAUAUGCAAGAAGCUAAGAAAUCUAUGAAAGAGAAAGGCAUUAAAUCUGAAGAUGUCAAAAAUCUACCACCUAUCAAAGAGAUCCAUGGUCUUGAUAACCCUAUACAGGUAGUAGAAGUAAAUUCUCUGAGUAGGUUUGAUGAGAGUGAUAUUACUUUUGAUAAACCUGCUAACCUAUGCGUGGAUGAAUUUGAUAACUUUGUUGCCAAACAACAGAGUUUCAUUGAUUAUGUUAGCACACAAUUGGAAUAGAAUGCUCGUAUGCUUAGUCAUUUAAGUGCUUGUGUGGACAGAAACAUCAAUGAUCUUAAGCUCCUGAGUAAACAUGCCUCUAUGGUUACUACUCAGGUAGAACAAGUACUUAAAGCUCAGAAUGACUUGCUCAAUGAGUUGAAUGACUUGCUCAAUGAGUUGAAUGACAAUUCUGUCAGAGUUGUUACUAGAGGCGGUAGAAUGACCCAGGAACCUUUGUAUCCUGAGGGUCAUGCUAAGAGAAUUGAACAAGAUUCUCAAGGAGUUAGCACUGAUGCACCUAGUCAUCCUAGAAAGAAGAAGAAAGAUGAUAGGAACUUGCACGCUAGCAGCCCUGUUGCUGCUACACCUGAGAGUCCAAACGAUGCCUCUGUUUCCGAUGCUGAAACACAAUCUGGUGAUGAACAUGAGCCUAAUGAUAAUAUCAAUAGUGAUGUUCAUGAAGAUGCUCAACCUAGCAAUGAAAAGGAUGUGGAGAUUGAACCUGUUGAUCUUGAUAACCCACAACCUAAGAAUAGAAGAUAUGAUAAGAACGACUUCGCUGGUAGGAAGCAUGGUAAAGAAAGGGAACCAUGGGUUCAGAAACCCAUGCCCUUUCCUCCCAAACCAUCCAAGAAAAAGGAUGAUGAGGAUUUUGAGCGAUUUGUUGAAAUGAUUAGACUUGUCUUUCUACAAAUGCGUUUGACAGAUAUGCUCAAAAUGUCUAUGUAUGCUAAGUACAUGAAAGAUAUUGUGACUAAUAAGAGGAGGAUACCUGAGGUUGAGAUUUCCACCAUGCUUCUAACUAUGCCUUCAAGGGUGGAACUCCUAAGAAACUAGGUGAUCCCGGUGUGCCCACUAUACCUUGCUCCAUUAAAGGUAACUACGUUAGAACUACUUUAUGCGACCUUGGAGCCGGUGUUAGUGUUAUGCCUCUCUCUCUCUUUAUCGUAGACUUGAACUGGAUAAUCUGACACCCACUGAAAUCUCUCUGCAAAUGGACGACAAAUCAACUGCUUUCCCUAUCGGCAUUUGCGAGAAUGUGCCUCUUGUGGUUGCUAAUGUCACUAUCUUAACAGACUUUGUUAUCUUGGAUAUUCCCGAGGACGAUGCCAUGGCGGUCAUCCUCGGAAGACCCUUUCUUAACACUAAAGGGGUUGUUAUAGAUUGCAACAAAGGCAAUUUCACUUUCCAUGUUAACGGUAAUGAGCAUACGGUGCACUUUCCGAAGAAACAAUAUCGAGUACAUUGCAUCAAUGCUAUCGAAAAAACUUCAUCGAUUCUGAUAGGGAGCUUUGAAUGCCCUAUACCUCGUGUCAAGAUGAAGUAUGAUUUGCUUGUCGGGGAGAUACACAUACCCAUUGAGGUGACUUGGUGACUAUUCGAAAAUUCUCCGUUCUCUUUUGCAUUCGAAAAAGUUUGUCAAGGAGACUUGAUCAACCUCAUCGACGGAUUUCUUUCGAUGACCAUGAGAUGGACGAAUCGAGGAGUCACAAACCUCUGUUCCAAGCUUUCACCUUCGGUUGCUUAGAAGAAAAAUGAUAGGUUUAGUUUAGUUUUCCCUGUUUUCUGUUUUAGCGUCCGGUAGAAAAGUACCCCGAAAAUAAAAGUUCUCCGAACGUCCUGAAAAUCAAGUAUGACUUUUUCUAGAUUUUUUGAAAAAUACUAAGACAAAGAGCUUGUCUGGGGGCUGCACCAGUGGGCCACAAGCCCUUGAGGCGCGGGCACCCCCCUGGCCGUGCCGACCUGGCUUGUGGGGCCCACGUGCACCCCCUCCACUCAUUCUUGCUCUUAUCUGCUUCUCCUACCUCCAGAAAAAAUCGUUUCGCAGCUCAAACCCAUGUUCUUGCUCCUCUUGUUGGGAUUUUCGAUCUCUUUGCUCCAAGCACCAUUCUCCGAACUAUUUUGGGGAAAUUACUCCUUGGUAAGUGACCCCUCCAUUGGUCCAAUUAGUUUUUGCUCUAGUGCCUUAUACUUCGCGUAUUUUUGCUGCCUUGGUGACCAUGUUCUUGAGCUUUGCAUGCUAACUCUAGCUGGUCCCAAGUGGUUUUGAUGCGUAAUAUGGCCUCUAGGCACUUGUGGGAGUAGUUGCUAAGAGUUUCGUUGAGCCUUAUUCACUUUUCCUUAGAAUCACUAAAAAUUUCAGAAAUUUUCAAAGAUAGAAAAGGGAAAAGAUUAGGAGGUUCUUUAGAGGCUCUUCAAGCCGUGACCCCAAGGAUAAUGGAAGUGAGAAGAAGCCCAAGUAUCUGGUCCCUCGAGUCGCAGAAGUUCAAGCGUGCGAGUGGCCAAGCGACGUGUUCUUACGCGCCUCUAGACUUUAUGAGGACUUUUAUCACUUGGUGGAAAACGCAGGCCUUACUGCCUUAGUUGAAGAUAAGUGUCCGCAAUACCUCCUCCUCACUAAUAUCUUUGUACGAAGCUUUAACUUCUAUCCGAGGAAGAAUCCUCCUAUGGUUGAGUUCAAACUUUAUGAUAUCCCCGAGCGCAUGUCACUCCAGGAUUUUUGCAAUGUUUGCAAAUUACCUUACGUUGGGGAUAUUCAUGAACCUCGUCCACGGGACUUGGAAGCUUUCAUCGAUACAAUUGCUGUAGGAGAGGAGAAAGGAGUGUCUUGCGCUAGAGCUGCUAGCAUUCAUUUUCCCGAGGUUCGGUACUUCUCAUUAUUCGUUGGAAAAUGUUUGAUUGGUCGUGGGAAAGUUGGUUCACUUAGUUCCCCAGAUCUUGCGGUCUUGCGCGAAGCCCUUUAUAAUGAUAAAACUUAUAGCUUGGGCGCUAUAGUAGCUCAACGGUUGAACACGAACCAUUCUAAAGGCAUUGUCUAUGGAGGUAUCUAUGCUACUCGUCUUGCUAGACACUUUGAGAUACCUAUUAGACUAGAGGAGGAAGAAGAGAUUCUUCUUCCCGAGAGAUAUCUGGAUUACAAUAGCAUGGUUCGUCAUGACUUUCUUGAUAGAGAUAUAAAUAGAAGGAUGAUUUAUAACCUGGUAUUUAGUCAGGGUACUCGUGAGACUAUUACUUAUCCUGCUCCUUGUUUAUUCAAUCUUCAUGCAGGCAUGUACAUUAUUAUGCCCUCAGACAUCUACGCAUAUUGGGGCUUAGCCCAACCAAAGGUGCUCGUGCCCGAGCCACCAGUCGAGUACCAGACGCCAGUUUAUCAGUGGGAGCGAGAGGAGCUCACACAGCAGUGGCAUCCUCAGUCCACUCCGGAGUACCCCGGAUCUGGUUAUUUCCCUCCUUGGGAGUAGACCAACUUAGGCCAAAAGUCUAAGCUUGGGGGAGUACGUGUUUCUCACCGACUUUACAUUCUUGCUUAUGCUUUCACUUUGUUCGUCGGUGUUCACACUUUGCCACUGUAUCAUCCAUGCUAGUUUAUUUUCCUUUUUCUUGUUUUCUUUUUGUGUGUCUGUCUAGUUUGAGAAAACCCAAAAAGAUUUUCUUUUUCUUCUUUUGCUUGUUGGGAGCUUUCCCGUGUAAAUAGUUUUCUUUUUCUUUGGGUCAAGGUAGAAGAUCAUGGUUACAAUGUUUAGCAGCUCUCGCAUGCAUAUCUGUUUAUCUGUUAAAAGAGCCAUAUUACUUUGUCUUCUCCUUUGUGUUUGCCUUCAGGUUCCAGCUUUAGUCCAAUGCAUGAGCACGCUUAUUAUUGUUCACAUCGUUCGGUCGUGCAAGUGAAAGGCAAUAAUGACGAUAUAUGAUGAAGUGACUGAGCCUGGAAAACCUGGUAUGAACUCGAUCUAUUUUGUUUUUGUAAAUAUGACUAGCUCAUCGUGCUUGAUUCAGCUUUGUUGUGAGAGAAACAUGUUUGUAAUGACAACUUAGAGAUCAUAGUUGCUUAUGCCAUGCUUACUUAGCUAGGAGCUUAUAAUGGGCUGUCUUGGAUACCCACAUGAAUAUUGAGAUGACUAUGAUGUGGUAUGAUAGGAUGGUAUCCUCCUUUGAAUGAUUCAAGUGGCUUGACUUGGUGCAUGUUCAUGCAUGUAGUUGAAACAAAAUCAUAAUAGCCUCUAUGAUGUUCAUGUUCAUGGUGAUUUAUGUUCUACUCAUGCUUGCACUCAGUGUUAGUUAAUCUCAAUGCAUUUUGAUGACUGUUGUCGCUCUCUAGUUUGUCGCUUCCCAGUCUUUUGCUAGCCUUCACUUGUACUAAGCGGGAAUACUGCUUGUGCAUCCAUCUCCAUAAACCCAAAGUUGUUCCAUAUGAGUCCACCAUACCAACCUAUAUGCGGUAUCUACCUGCCGUUCCAAGUAAAUUUGCAUGUGCCACUCUCUAAACCUUCAAGAAAUAAUCUGUUUUGCAUGCCCGAACCGCUCAUGUGGUGACAGGGAGCUAUCAGUAUCUUCCAUGCUAGGCGUGUUAUCCUUGAUAUGUGUUUAUUCACUAUCAUUCACGAGAAAGGGGUCGGUAAUUGGAAUUCCCAGUUCCAUGUUCAAAUCGAAAAGAUAAUUGCAAACAAAACUCCCCCUGGAUUGAUGUUGGUAUGGACGGCACCCGAGUAUUCGGCUAGUCGUGGAGUGUGAUUGAUUGGUGAUGGGGGAGUCAAAACUUUACUUUUCUGUUUGGGAACCACCUAUAGCAUGUGUAGCAUGGAAGAUGGUGAGAACUCUUAGUCAUUGUGUUGACGAUGAAAGCAUGCCACCCAAAAUUAUUAUCUCUGUUUUCAAAGCUUGAGCUCUGGCACCUGUGCAAAUCAAUGCUUCCCUCUGCGAAGGGCAUGUCUAUUUAUGUUCAUGUUGAGUCAUCCUCCUCUUAUAAAAGCACCAAUUAGAGAGCACCUCUGUCAUUUUUAUGCUUUGCUUUUAAUUGUGUUGAGUAUGACUGUGACUGGAUCUUCUUUGCCAUGAAUUACAAUGUUUAGUCAGCCCUUGGUCUUUGAAGAUGCUCUGCAUUUAUGUUUUGCGGUCUCAGAAAGAGCUAGCGGGAUACCAUAUGUUCAUACUGCUUCAUGAUUGUUUUGAUUGAAGUGUUGAAGUUUGAGACUUAUUAUUAUUUGCUUGAUAGUUGAUUAUGCCAUUGAUAUGAGUUUACCGUGAGAUCUAGAUGUCAUUUGCUUAUGUGGUUAGCUUGUGAUCUUGCUGAAAUUCUGGUUAUGAGUUAGACAUAGUUGGAACAAUAAGAUCAAACAGAGUUCAUCAAAGUUUUUCUUUUGUCUCUUUCAAUUUGUCAACUAAAUUGCUUGAGGACAAGAAAGGCUUUAAGCUUGGGGGAGUUGAUACGUCUCCGUCGUAUCUACUUUUUCGAACUCUUUUGCCCUUGUUUUGGACUCUAAUUUGCAUGAUUUGAAUGGAACUAACCCAGACUAACGUUGUUUUUAGCAGAAUUGACAUGGUGUUGUUUUUGCGCACAAAUAAAAGUUCUCGGAAUGACCUGAAAUUUUACGGAGAAUUUUUCUGGAAUUAAUGAAAAAUACUGGCGCAAGAAUCAGCGGGAGAGGUGGAGCCGUGAGCCCACAAGCCCNNNNNNNNNNNNNNNNNNNNNNNNNNNNNNNNNNNNNNNNNNNNNNNNNNNNNNNNNNNNNNNNNNNNNNNNNNNNNNNNNNNNNNNNNNNNNNACCAGGCGCGCCCCCCCCCCCCCGCCCCCCCCCCCCCCNNNNNNNNNNCCCCCCAGGCCCCCCCCCCCCCCCCCUGGCCGCGCCUGGCAGGCUUGUGGGGCCCACAAAGCUCCACCGCCUCUCAAUCCAACUCUAUAUAGUCUGUUUCGUCCGGAAAAAAAUCAAAGAGAAGGAUUCAUUGCGUUUUACGAUACGGAGGCGCCGCCACCUCUUGUUCUUCAUCUGGAGGGCAGAUCUGGAGUCCGUUCUGGGCUCCGGAGAGGGGAGAUCGUCGCCAUCGUCAUCCGCAACCUUCCUCCAUCGNNNNNNNNNNNNNNNNNNNNNNNNNNNNNNNNNNNNNNNNNNNNNNNNNNNNNNNNNNNNNNNNNNNNNNNNNNNNNNNNNNNNNNNNNNNNNNNNNNNNNNNNNNNNNNNNNNNNNNNNNNNNNNNNNNCAACCUUCCUCCAUCGCCAAUUCCAUGAUGCUCUUCACCGUUCGAGAGUAAUCUCAUCGUAGGCUUGCUGGACGGUGAUGGAUUGGAUGAGAUGUAUCAUGUAAUCGAGUUAGUUUUGACGGGGAUUGAUCCCUAGUAUCCACUAUGUUCUAAGAUUGAUGUUGCUACUACUUUGCCAUGCUUAAUGCUUGUCACUAGGGCCCGAGUGCCAUGAUUUCAGAUCUGAACCUAUUAUGUUGUCGCCAAUAUAUGUGUGUUUUAGAUCCUAUCUUGCAAGUUGUAGUCACCUACUAUGUGUUAUGACCCGGCAACCCCGGAGUGACAAUAGCCGGAAUCACUCCCGAAGAUGACCAUAGUAUGAGGAGUUCAUGUAUUCACCAAGUGUUAAUGCGUUGGUCCGGUUCUUUAUUAAAAGGAGAACCUCAAUAUCCUGUAGUUUCCAUUAGGACCCCUCUGCCAUGGGAGGGAUGGACAAUAGAUGUCAUGCAAGUUCUUUUCCCUAAGCACAUAUGACUACAUACAGAAAACAUGCAUACAUUAGAUUGACGAACGGGAGCUAGUUACAUAUCUCUCCGUGUUAGAGCUGUUACAUGAUGAAUUGCAUCCGGCAUAAUCAUCCAUCACCGAUCCAAUGCCUACGAGUCUCUUACUACUGGUCCUUGCUACGUUACUUUGCCACUACUGUUGUCACUGCUGCUACUGUUACUCUGUUGCUACUGUUGUUGCUUUGCUGCUACUUCUAUCACCUUGCUGCUACUGGUUACUGUUGUUACUGCUGCUAUCAUUCUACUUUGCUACUGAUACUUUGCUGCAGACACUAAAUCUUUCAGGUGUGGUUGAAUUGACAACUCAACUGCUAAUACUUGAGAAUAUUCUUUCGCUUCCCCUUGAGUCGAAUCAAUUAAUUUGGGUUGAAUACUCUACCCUCGAAAACUGUUGCGAUCCCCUAUACUUGUGGGUUAUCAAUCUUAUACAACUACAAUUGUUACUUAACUGGAAUUAGUUGCCUCGGGAUUGCUUCCUCGCAGGGAGUCAAGGGAGGAUCUUUGGGCGUGACCUCACUUUAAUAUUGCUGCAACAAUAUGACUAUUAAUGGUGUUACCUGUUCUACUCUCAUCUAUUGCUGCAAGACCCUGAAGAUGCUAGUCUUCGAUAGGACUAGGCCUUCUCUCUCUAUUCUCGCAUUGCUACAGCCAGUCCACAUAUAAACCCCCCUUCUUUGAUACUGAUGCAUACUUAGAAUAGUUGUGAUGUAAGACUUGCGAGUACUUUGGAUGAGUACUCACCGUUGCUUUGCUCCCCUUUUGUCCCCUUGAUCCGUUGCUGCGACCAGAUGAUGGAGCCCGGGAGAUGGAGUUUCCUGCCGAUGCCUGCCACCCCAAUGGUGAUUUCUACGUGGAGGCCGUUGAAGACCAAGAGUAGUUAGGAGGUUCCCACGCAGGAGGCCUCGCCUCGUUCGAUCGUUGUAUCUUUUGUGCUAGCCUUCUCUAAGGCACCCCCAUGUUUUAUGUCUGUACUCAGAUAUUGUUGCGUCCGUUGACUCAUGUGUUUAUCGAGCUUCUGUAUUCUAGCCCUCGAGGCCCCUAGCUUAUAAUAUAAAGCUUGUAUUAUUUUAUUUGUGUCUAGAGUUGUGUUGUGAUAUCUUCCCGUGAGUCCUUGGGUUUGAUCGUACGCAUUUGCGUGUAUGAUUAGCGUACGAUUAAACCGAUGGCGUCGCAAUUAGAGACAACUGCAUUCACUUUAAAUAGGGCACCAUAAAAAUAUGUUGAGACGACACCAUACGAACUGUGCUAUGGCAAAAGACCAAAGUUGUCGUUUCUUAAAGUUUGGGGAUGUGAUGCUUAUGUCAAAAAGCUUUAGCCUGAAAAGCUGGAACCCAAAGCGGAAAAGUGUGCCUUCAUAGGUUACCCAAAAGAGACAGUUGGGUAUACCUUCUAUCUCAAAUCUGAGGGCAAAGUGUUUGUUGCUAGAAACGGAGCUUUUCUUGAGAAGGAGUUUCUCUCGAAAGAAUUGAGUGGGAGGAAGAUAGAACUUGAUGAGGUUGUCGAACCUCUAAUCCCUCUAGAUGGUGGCGCAGGGGAAGGGGAAACCCUUGUCGUUGCGACGCCGGUUGAGGAGGAAGUUGAUGAUGAUGAUCAUGAAAGUUCGGAUCAAGUUCCUAUCGGACCUCGCAGGUCGACAAGAUCACGUACUGCUCCUGAGUGGUACGGUAAUCCUGUCUUAUCAAUUAUGUUGUUAGACAACAAUGAACCUGUGAAUUAUGAAGAAGCAAUGGUGGGCCCGGAUUCCAAGAAAUGGCUGGAGGCCAUGAAGUUCGAGAUAGGAUCCAUGUACGAGAACAAAGUGUGGACUUUGGAAGUACUACCUGAAGGCCGCAAGGCCAUUUAGAACAAAUGGAUCUUUAAGAAGAAGACGGACGCAGACGGUAAUGUGACCGUUUAUAAAGCUCGACUUGUGGCAAAGGGAUUUUCACAAGUUCAAGGAGUUGACUACGAUGAGACAUUCUCACGAGUAGCGAUGCUUAAGUCCGUCUGAAUCAUGUUAGCAAUAGCUGCCUUUUACGAUUAUGAAAUCUGGCAGAUGGAUGUCGAAACGGCGUUCCUUAACGGUUUUCUUAAGGAAGAGUUGUAUAUGAUGCAACCCGAAGGUUUUGUCGAUCGAAAGAAUGCUAACAAAGUAUGCAAGCUCCAGCGAUCCAUUUAUGGACUGGUGCAAGCAUCUCGGAGUUGGAAUAAGCGCUUUGAUGAGGUGAUGAAAGCAUUUGGAUUUAUACAAGUGGUUGGAGAAUCUUGACUUUACAAGAAAGUGAGUGGGAGCUCUGUGGCGUUUCUAAUCUUAUAUGUGGAAAAAAUAUUGCUGAUUGGAAAUAACGUGAAGAUUUUGGAGAGCAUAAAGGAUUACUUGAAUAAAAGUUUCUCUAUGAAGGACCUAGGAGAAGUUGCUUACAUUCUAGGCAUUAAGAUCUAUAGGGAUAGAUCGAGACGCCUGAUAGGACUUUCACAAAGUACAUACCUUGAUAAAGUUUUGAAGAAGUUCAAAAUGGAUCAGUCCAAGAAAGGGUUCUUGCCAGUAUUACAAGGUAUAAAAUUGAGUAAGACUCAGUGCCCAGCAACUGCGGAAGAUAGAGAACAAAUGAGUUCCGUCCCCUACGCUUCAGCCGUAGGUUCUAUCAUGUAUGCAAUGCUAUGCACUAGACCAAACAUCAGCUUGGACAUAAGUAUGGCAGGCAGGUUUCAGAGUAAUCCAGGAGUGGAUCACUCGACGGCAGUCAAGAAUAUUCUGAAGUACCUGAAAAGGACUAAGGAAAUGUUUCUCGUUUAUGGAGGUGACAAAGAGCUUGCCGUAAAAGGUUACGUCGACGCAAGUUUUGACACCGAUCCGGAUGGAUCUAAGUCACAAACCGGAUACGUAUUUAUUCUUAAUGGGGGUGCAGUAAGCUGGUGCAAUUCCAAGCAGAGCGUCGUAGAAGAUUCUACAUGUGAAGCGGAGUACAAGGCUGCCUCGGAGGCAACAAAGGAGGGUGUCUGGAUGAAGCAGUUCAUGACAGAUCUUGGAGUUAUGCCGAGCGCACUAAAUCCAUUAACUCUGUUAUGUGACAACACUAGUGCCAUUACCUUAGCAAAGGAACCAAGGUUUCACAAGAAGACCAGACACAUCAAACGACACUUCAACCUCAUCCGCGACUACGUCGAAGGAGAGGACGUGAAUACUUGAAAAGUGCACACGGAUCUGAAUGUAGCAGACCCGCUGACUAAACCUCUUCCACGGGAAAAACAUGAUCAACACCAGAACUGUAUGGGUGUUUGAUUUAUUACAAUGUAAAUCGCAUGGCGAUGUGAGGACUAGAUUAUUGACUCUAAUGCAAGGGGGAGACUGUUGGAAAUAUGCCCUAGAGGCAAUGAUAAAUAGUUAUUAUUAUAUUUCCUGUUUAAAGAUAAUCGUUUAUUAUCCAUGUUGUAAUUGUAUUGAAUGAAAACAUAGAUACAUGUGUGGAUGCAUAGACAAAACAAUGUCCCUAGCAAGCCUCUAGUUGGCUAGCCAGUUGAUCAAGGGUAGUCAAGGUUUUCUGGCUAUGUGCAAGUGUUGUCACUUGAUAACUGGAUCACAUCAUUAGGAGAAUCAUGUGAUGGACUAGACCCAAACUAUGAACGUAGCAUAUUAUCAUGUCAUUUUACUGCUAUUGUUUUCUGCGUGUCAAGUAUUUGUUCCUAUGACCAUGAGAUCAUAUAACUCACUGGCACCGGAGGAAUACCUUGUGUGCAUCAAACGUCACAACGUAACUGGGUGACUAUAAAGGUGCUCUACAUGUAUCUCUGAAGGUGUCAGUUGAGUUAGUAUGGAUCAAGACUGGGAUUUGUCACUCCGUGUGACAAAGAGGUAUCUCGGGGCCCACUCGGUAAUACAACAUCACACACAAGCCUUGCAAGCAAUGUGACUAAGUGUAAAUCACGGGAUCUUGUAUUACGAAACAAGUAAAGAGACUUGCCGGUAACGAGAUUGAAAUAGGUAUGCGGAUACCGACAAUCGAAUGUCGGGCAAGUAACAUACCGAAGGACAAAGGGAAUGACAUACGGGAUUAUAUGAAUCCUUGACACUGAGGUUCAACCGAUAAGAUCUUCGGAGAAUAUGUAGGAUCCAAUAUGGGUAUACAGGUCCCGCUACUGGAUAUUGACCGAGGGGUACCUCGGGGCAUGUCUACAUAGUUCUCGAACCCGCAGGGUCUGCACACUUAAGGUUCGAUGAUGUUUUAGUAUAGUUGAGUUAUAUGUGUGGUUACAGAAUGUUGUUCAGAGUCCCGGAUGAGAUCAUGGACGUCACGGGGGUUUCCAAAAUGGUCCGGAAACAAAGAUUGAUAUAUAGGAUGGUUUCAUUUGGUUACCGGAAAGUUUCGGGCAAUUCCGGCAGUGUACGGGGAGUGACGAAUGGGUUUCGGGAGUUCACCGGGAGGGGCCCACCCACCCGGGAAUGAGCCCAAGGUCAUAGGGUGGCACCACAAGUCCCUAGUGGGCUGGUGGAGUCAGCCCAAGGGGCCCAUGGCGCCACUUAAAGAAAUACCAAAAAGAAAAUAAAACGAAAAGGAAAAAAGGGGAGGUGGGAAGGAAGGGGAGGACUCCUCCUUCCCCAAACCGAAUUGGAGGAGGAGUCCUCCUCCUCCUUGGCCGAGCACCAAGGCAAGCCUCAUUCCCCUCCCUCCUAUAUUUAGUGGUGUUUUAGGGCUGCUUUGAGACAACUUUUGCCACGUGCAACUCAACCCUAGACCACAUAGUUCCACCUCUAGAUCGGAUUUCUACGGAGCUCGGACGGAGCGCUGCAGGAGUAGAUCAUCACCACCACCGGAGUGCCGUCACGCUGCCGUAGAACUCAUCUACUUCUCCUUCUUGCUUGCUGGAUCUAGAAGGCCGAGAUCAUCGUUGAGCUGUACGUGUGCUGAACGCGGAGGUGUCGUCCGUUCGGCACUAGAUCGGAACGGAUCGUGGGAAGGAUCGUGGGACGGUUCGUGGGGCGGUUCGUGGGGCGGAUCGAGGGAUGUGAAGACGUUCCACUACAUCAACCGCGUUUCUUAACGCUUCCUGUUGUGCGAUCUACAAGGGUACAUAGAUCCAAAUCUCCUCUCGUAGAUGGACAUCACCAUGAUAGGUCUUCGUGUGCGUAGGAAAAUUUUUGUUUCCCAUGCAACGUUCCCCAACACUUUCCAUAUCCAUUUUUCUAAGAGAGAGCCACAUACUCAUGUGUUGAGGUUAAGCUAUUCCAAUCCAUCCAUUUGAAACUUGAUAUCUAGCCUCCCCAAGUUGCUUUCCACACAAUGAAUCUCUUCUACACAUGCCAAAUCUGUGAGAGAGUGAUUGAGUGUUGAGAAGACUAUCUUUUGAAGCACAAGAGCAAGGAUUUUAUCGUACUACCGCAUCUAUUACCAUUUCGAGGGUGGUGCCUCCUAGAUUGGUUAGGUGUUUCUUGCGAGCCUCCUGCUUCGUAUUGUGGAGUUGAACCAAGAAGUUUGUAAGGGCAAGGAGAUCACCUACUUCGUGAAGAUCUACCCCAAGUAAGGCUAGUCCUUCGUGGACGUAAGCCAUGAUGGAAUAGACAAGGUUGCUUCUUCGUGGACCCUUCGUGGGUCAAGCCCUCUCUGGACUCGCGCGGCCGUUACCCUCCGUGUGUUGAAGUCUCCAUCAACGUGGACGUACGAUAGCACCACCUAUCGGAACCACGCCAAAAAUCACCUGUCAACCUUUGGGUUUGAUCUUCCUAUCCCUACCAUCUACUUACAUAUGCAGGUCAUUACUUUCCGCUUCUAUACUCUUAGACUUGCAUGUGUAGGGUAUGCUUCAAUUACCACAAUUGUUAAAACUUGCCCACAACUAAAAUUGAUAAAAUGCUAAGUUUUUAUUUCGUCAAGUAGUCUAAUCACCCCCCCCCCCUCUAGACAUACUCCAGAUCCUACAUCGUCGAACCAUGCCACCGCAACAUUAUUGAAGGCGUCGGAUUGUCAUCAUAUCAUCGUCGCGGUUGUCGAAGCACCCGUCGUGGCCGUCGCAACAACAUGGAAUAAGAUGGGUUGUGGUCGUACCAUCGCUGAAAGAGUCAUGCCAUCAUCCCAGAACUACCAUAGCCAGGAAGCACACCGUCACAAUACUCAGCCCUUCCUUUGAGCAUCGCCAUGACCAUCGAAGCACGAUGUCGUAGCAUCGAGGCAACCGUUUGAAGCAUUCCGCCGCCGCGGUUCGUCGCGCAUCAUUGCGGUCAUCAAAACAUGACGUCCCAACAUCAUCGAAUGGUCUGGGUUGCCAUUGUAGCAUCAUUACGGUUGUCGAAGCAUCUGCCAUGGGACGAGUUGUCAUCAUAGAAUCACCAAAACAACUGUGCCAUCAUCCCAAAAUUGCCAUGACCGGAAAGCAAGCCGUCACAAUAGUCGGACCUUCCUCGAAGCAUCGCCUCAAUCAUCGAAACAUGUCGUCAUGGCAUAGACAUGACCGUUUGAAGCAUGUCGCUGCCACGGUUAGCCACACAUCAUCACGGCCUCCCAAGAACGAUGCCACAACAUCAGUGAAGGGGCCAGGUUUCCAUUGUAGGAUCAUUACAGUUGUCGAAGCAACCAUUGCGGCCGUCACAACAUUAUUGAAGUAGACAAGUCGUCAUCGUGGCUCCAUCACAACCGUCAAAGCAUAUUGCCACCAUCAAAGCACGUCGCCGCGCCAUUGCAGCCACCGUCGAAGCCUGUUGUCGUAAACAUCUAUGAAAUGGUGUCUCGUAGCAUCGCUGCCAUCCAAAGAGUCAGGCUACCGGCAUAGAGGUUGUCGAGCCUCACAGCACUGCUUGUGCCCUCACGCUACACCGAAACAGCUAGACCACCCCCCACAACCUCGCCGUCUUGGAUUGCAGCGCGUCCGACCUCGUAUGCAGCAACCAAUCUCGUCGCUGGUCAAUUGAAGCAGCUCGUUUCGCUACAUGAUCAUGGAUGUUUUGCAUUUUUUAGGAAAUGGUUGACUUGCUACUUGACUCACACUAGAAAAGCAUAGAUCGCUUUGCUACUUACCUAAACUAGAAGCGCCUCUCUGCGUCACACGUUGAUACGCUAACCAAGUAGGCUGUGUGGAGUCGUUCGCUAUGUACGGCGUUAGUUAAACAGACUAGCCGCGGGUGGAUCAAACAGUUAAUGUGAUGGAUGGAUCGAACGAUGGAGUGGCUAGCUACCCGGUUGAUCCCAUGCGCGGAUCGACCGGAUGACGCUUAGCAUCCGCCUUUUUAUUUCUUCUCCGUAUUUCUUUUUUUGUUGACAUACUUUAGUUUUUCUCUUUCUUUUUUUCUCUUCGUUUCUUUCAUGGUUAGUAUUCAUUUUUCAUUUCUUUCUCAUUAUGUUCCUUUUUUCUUCGGUUUAUUGUUUUCUUUCUUAUUUUCAAUGUCAUUUGUGUUUAUUUAUUUAUUGGUCUUUACAUUUUAUUUUCUUUGUUUCUUGGUUUUAUUUUUCAUAGGUUUCUUUUUUAUUUCAUUUUUUAUUUUCCUUUUUUUCGUUUGGUUUUCAUGAUGUAUUUUUUGUAUGCAUUAAGAAAUAAUACAGUUUGGACAUUUUCUCAAUAUAAAUUUAGCAUUUUUAAUACAUGGUUACAUUUGUCUAUACACAUCUUCAACAUUUUUUAAAUGCUUGAUUAAUAUUUUAAAAUACAAAUUUAAUAUUUUUUGUAUACAUCGCCAAUAUUUUUCUAUACGCACUUUAAUUUUUUUAAAUACAAGGUCAAUUUUUAAUACAUAGUAAAAAAAUCUAUGAACUUUAACAAUUUCGAAUUGCUUUAUCAAUAUUUUUCAAAUGCAAGAUUAACAUUUUUUUAAUGCAUGGUCAACAUUUUUUCUAUAAACAUUAAUUUAACAUUUUUCAACCACUUGUUUAACGCAUUUGAAAUACAUGAUGAACUUUUUCACACCCAUUGUAUACUUUGUGUAUACAUUUUUCAUAUAAAUGAUUAACAUUUUUUUCUGUACACAUUCGACAUUUUCAAAUGCGCGACUAAUAUAUAUGUUUUGAAUUGUUGGAAGUGUAAGCAAAAGUAAAAAAUCAAAAAAGGAAACAAAAUGUAAAAAAAGAAGAGGUAGCAGCCUCAGACGAGCUGGACGACCCAUUUAGACUGUUACCUUCAGCGAGAGCUUCACUCUGCCAUUAGACUACCCACAAUGGGAGUAGCAUAGGUAGUAACAUGGAUGCCACCUAAGCAAGAAAUAUGAUGUGGCAACUAAUUAAUGAGAAGAGAGAGAAAUUGAGAACUUAGCAUGUUACUCAUACUAGGAGUAACAUAGCAGAUACCAAGACAAGAUGAGUUUAUAGGCUAAUAAAUAAAAGGCUCAAUGUUAUUACCCAUAUGUUACUAUCAAUUGUGGAGGUAGUAACUUAGACUAGUAACAUAUGUAUGUUACUCCCCAUUGUGAGUAGUCCUAGAAGAGUUGGAGAUGGGAAGUCAAUGAACAUAUAUCAACACAACUGGAUCCCAUGGGCUCGCACCAUGAGGCCCCUCACUUUGUUGUUACCCAAUCCACCACAGGUCGUGGCAGAUAUGAUUGAUUAUUUGUGUGCCUAAUGGAGAGAAGAUGUGAUCACAUAGACCUUUGUCCCGAUGGACUCUGAAGCUAUAUUGAGAAUUCCACAAGUGGAUGCUUUUUGGGCAUGGUCAGAGGACCCAAUUGAGAAGUGGAUGUUUCUAUAUGAGAACAACAUAUAAGAUGAUAUAUCGAAUCAAGAUGGGAAGGGAAGCAUGGCUAAAUAAAGUUGAACAUACAUCGAAUCUACAAGGGGGUGAAGAGCCGGUCAUCCGUGUAGAAGUUCCAGGUGUCGUCAAAAUUGAAGGUUUUUAUAUGGAGGCUCUCUCAACUUUCGCUACCCACUGGUGAUGUGCUCCAACACAGGAGUAUUGCAACAACUCGUCUAUGUGGAAUAUGUGGAGCACAAGAUAGCUGGCGUCACAGUUUACUUGAGUGCGCAAUGGCCUGGAGCACAUGGGCGUUAUCACAUGAGGAGAUGUGUGCAACACAUGUCUAUGAAUCAAGAUGAGAAUGCUAAGGAGUAGUUGUUUGCCAUGAUUGGGGCGAUAAUCAUGAUGUUUCUUAUGAUCUUGAUAAUUCUAAGCUUCAUGAUGAAUAUAUUAUUGAUUAUGAUAUUUGCAAUACUAAUAAAGGUGGGUUUGAGAGAGCAUCAACUUUAGGUAAUAAUGAUCCCACUACUUUGGAGAUUGAUGCAUCUUAUGAAAUUAUCGAUAAAAGUGGGUUUGAAGAGGUCAUGACUUUAGUUGAUGCUAAUCCCACUACCUUGGAAGAUUAUAAGACUUAUAUGCAUAUAGAUCAUAAAGAUGAUAUUUUACAUGAUAGUUAUAUUGUUGAGUUUGAUUAUGAUCCUACAUGCAAUUAUUAUUAGAGAGGCAAAUAUGGUUAUGGGAAUUUGCAUGUUACUCAAUUACCUCUCUUUAUAUUGAAAUUAUUAAUGUUUCACUCUUCCUAUUUUGCAUACGCUUGAUAUCACUUGUCUUGAUAAUUUGUUUUUUUAUAAGAUGCCUAUGCAUAGGAAGUAUGUUAGACUUAGAUGUGUUUUUUCACAUAAUUUAUGAUGCUCUGUUUGUGCUUCAAUUCUUGUCUAUUACGUGAGCACCAUCAUUAUCCCAAACCUAUCUUAAUGGCUAUAAAGAAAGAGCUUGUUGGGAGACAACCUAAUACUUUCUGUUAUUUUGAGUUGAGAUGAUUAUUGCUACUUUAAUGAUUGUGUUUUUAUGUUUAGUUUAGUGUUUGUGCCAAGUAAAGCCUUUGAGAUGAUUUGGAUGAUAAGUAGAAUUGAUACGGUGCAAAAAACAAAAACUUUUACGUCUAGUGCAGAAUUUAUAUGAUUUUACUGGACCGUCUUUUUAUCUGAAUUUUUUACACUGUAUUGGUAUACAAAUUCCCUAGUUUGUCUUAAUUUUUCAGAAUUUUCGGAGUUACAGAAGUAUGGUUUAAGUGUUGAUCACCACAAACUGUCCUGUUUUAGACAGAUUAUGUUGUUUACUUGCAUAGUUUGCUUGAUUUGAUGAUGUUAUGGGUUGUAUCAGGGGUAUAAGCCAUGUAGAAGUUAAAAUACAAUACCUUAUGCAAUAAUUAAAUAUGAACAUAGUACUAACGGAUCUUACGAGGUUUCUGUUAAGUUUUGUGUGCUGAAGUUUUUAAGUUUUGGGUGCGAUCACGAUGUAUUAAGGAAUAAAGAGUAGCAAGAUCUUAAGCUUGGGGAUGUCCAAGGCAUCCCAAGGCAAUAUCCAAGAAAGACUGGAGUGUCUAAGCUUGUGGAUACCCGGAAAGCACCCCCCCCCUCUUUCAUCUUCAUUCCAUCGGUAUGUCACUUGAAGCUAUAUUUAUUCAUCACAUAAUAUGUGUUUUGCUUGGAGUGUCGUGUGUUAGAGUUUGUUUUUGUUUUUGUUUUCACAAUCAUUGUUUGCUGGACACACCUAUUUGGAAGAGACACAUAUUCAUCAUGAUUUAUUAAAAUACUUUAUAUGCUUCAUUUAUAUCUUUUAAGCUAAAUAGUUGCUCUAGUGCUUCACGUAUAUCUCAUGAUUUAUUAAAAUACUUUAUAUGCUUCAUUUAUAUCUUUUAAGCUAAAUAGUUGCUCUAGUGCUUCACGUAUAUCUUUCUAAGUACGGUGACGUGUAGAUUUUAUAAAAAUAACUAUACUUUCGUUCUUUAUUUAUAUUUGUUUGAAUGUCUAAUAGGGCAACGGUAAUUUGCAUGGGUGAUCAGAUGAGGAGGGGGGAGGGGGUAGAAAAAGCUAGCAGAUGCUGCUGAACAAGUGAAGAUGGUGAGAGAUGCAAUGCACUAAUUUUCAUAGCACGAUAUAAAUAUUACAAGCAUGCACGCAGCACGCGUACAAAUUUACAUUUUACACCCACCCUCGCAUAUAUACCGCUCGCGCGCUCACGUUUCCCACGACGACAGACGGGUACCAUGCACAGGACGACGAUGCUCGGAUUUCGCCUAGUGGAACUUGAGGCUGGUGAGGAUGUUGUUGUUGACGGGGUCGGAGAGGUGGUCGAGGAGGUUCUGGAAGGGCCCGACGCCGGUGAAGAUGGCCUGCAGCGACAUGCCGAGGAAGGCGAGCAUGGCGAGACGGCCGUUCUUGAUCUCCUUGAGCUUGAGCUCCUUCAUCUCCUUCUCGCUCUUGGUGCCGAACCCGAGUGGGUUGAAGAUGGGCCCGCCGGGGUAGGCGGGGUCGCCGGAGCCGCCGAGGUACUUCUCGAGACCCAGGAAGUACUGCUUCCCCAUGGAACCCGGGUUGUACCAGUCCUGGAGCCGCCGGUGCUCUGCGAAGCCGAUCAGUGCCAUCUCGAACACGAAGAGCGUGUAGGGGUCGGCCCAGUACUGGUAGGUGCCUGCCGGCGGGAUGGCGCCCGCCUGGAACCACGGGAUCGCCGUCUCCGGGGGCACCAGACCCACCUUGCCCAGGGCCUCCGGGGCGAUCAUGCCCACCACCCCCAUCAUCGCCGUCCGGCCGUUGAAGAUCUCGCCGUAGGCCAGCCACCUGGGCUCGAUGAACCCGCCGGUGCCCUCCGGGUCGGACAGCCCCAAGGGGUCGAAGCCAAAGUCACCAGGCAGCCUGCAAGGCACAAAACCCAACACCUUCUAAGUCAGCUUCUCUUUGCCACACUGCCAACAUACAUACACCAGGUGUAAUAUGUUGCGCCGCGACUUACGUGCCGUCGAGGUAGGUGAGGGACUGCUUGGACGCGAACCACAGCUGCCUGUUGUCAUUUUGCUGAAAGAGAAGAACAAAAGAGAAAGUCAGUAGCCACUCCAGCCAGCUCUAAUCAGAUCAGAAGAAAACAUGCAGCAUGGCUAGAGUCUGAACGGACCUUGGCAGGGGGGCUGGACGAUGCCCUGACGACGAAGGGGGACUUCCGGGAGGAAGACGACCUGGAGAAGGAAGACUGCAGAGGCCUACCCAGCAGCUGCCUCCCAGAGAGAAGACCCUGGGCCGCCAUUGUUCCUGCAAGCUCCUCCUCCUGCUGCUCCGAGAGAUGAGGCAGACGCGGUGUGUGUGGUAGAGACUGAGAUGAAAGUGUGUGCUCCAAAACUCACCCACUGCUACAAAAGGAGAGAGGAACGUGCGCCUGACGGCCUGAGGCUGGGCGGGGGUGGGGCCAGGGAAAUCUUAUUCCGAUGUGAGGUGGAGCCUCAGCGGAUGAGGGCAUCUGUGGACCCAGUAGAAGCCCGCCAUGUGGAGGGUAUGCUGGGAUAAGGGGGCUGCCACCUGGCUUCUCAGCAGCUGAGGCUGCGUCCAUACCUGCAUUCCCUUGGCUCAGAUUUUCCACCACCUUGUGGACAGCACAGACAGUUGCAAUUCUUGUGCCUACCUAGAGUAUGCAUUCCGUGAGAUAUGAUGAGAUAUCAUGGUUGCCCCUAUGAGCCUAUCAUGUAUCACCAUCUGGAUAAGGGGAUCUUUGGGAUUAAAUCAUCAAAUUUCUUCAAUUAAUACAAAUAUAUACUUUGGCAGUUAAUAUUGUGUAUGGUGAUACGAGACCAAACUGAAUUUUCACAAGGUAAAAACAACUUGAUCUCCAAUUCUCCACAAAAACAAUACAAUCACCAAGCUGCCAGUCAGUUACAUUCUGAUGAAAAGAUAAAUAUGUUGGAUGAGGUUUGUACUUGUAUGGUGCCUACUCGGCAUUUUACGAGUUAUGAAAAUGCAAGGAAGGAUACUAAAUCUCGUCGUUAACUGAAUUCUGAAUAGAAAGAUUAAGAAGAAAAAAAGAUUCAAAAUACCCAAUAUCUUGCUAGAACAAGAUAUUGGGCAUUUUUGUCUUUUCUUUCUUCAAAAAUUCUUAUAUGUUAGCAGAAAAACCUUAUCCAUUAAUAGUGUACAGGUAACCCAUUUGAUCCAAACAAAAAGGAAGCACAGUGUAUCCUCCAAGACUAUAUAUUGUACUUAGUAGUUAAUAAACCUUAGCCAGCCCCAGAAGUACACAUUUUACAUAACAAAUGGGUGGCCUUCUAGUCUCCUCUCUCAUUUGCCUGGUAGACAAAACGUUAGAGUCAGUUAAGGUAAUCAUACAAUUCACUAAAAACGGACCAGCUUCUGAUACUUAUGCAUGGAACUGUUGUUUAAUCAGAUUUGAAGUCCACUAAUACAAGAAAUUCCCAUGAAAAACGUGACAGUGCAAUGCCUCCAAAAAUAUAGAUAUCAGAACUUGGUAUGCCUAAGGUUGGGUGUGUUUGCUUUAUGCUUAAGGUUGCCCUGCCAAAAAUUGACUCGCUAGUCACAAAAAUUGCUGAGAUUUUGCUUGCCCAUGUGUUCGCCAACACUGGCUAAAAACUGAACUAGAAUUGGCAAAGGAGCAUUGGCAUGCCAAAAAGUAGGUAAUAUCCCAAUCCAAAAAUAGAUAAAAGAAUUCUCAUGGGCAAACAAUGUAUAUGGUACUUUGGUCACAACAUCCAAAUCUUACACUUAGGGACAUGUAAUCAACCAUACAGACUGUGACAGGUUGAUGGAUUUUGUUGGAAAUUGGCUGGGCACAGGAGGAUGUCAAGAUCAUUUGGUCUGUCUGUAGUAUGUUGGGAGUUAUGGAGGAUGAGAAAUUAUAUGAUUUUCUAGAGGAAAAUUUUAACAUAUUUUAUAACUCUAUUGUAUAGGAUUAAGCCAUUGAUGUGGCAAUGGGAGGAAUUACUGAACAAUACUAAGACAAUGUUGGUGGUAGUGGUAAGCUUAAUACAAGUACUACCUGAAUCAUCCAAACAGACUUCCUUGAGGCAUGUUGCCUUUGAAUUGUUGAUUCGUGAGUUGAUAUGUUCUGGUAGUUUUCUUUUUCUUGUUAUCAUUGUUUCUGUCGAGGGGUUUCUUGAUACUAACUAUUUGGUUUGUUUUAGUCAUCGAACCUGAGUGCUGCCUAAUGUAUCUAUCUUCUAGUUUAUCGUGUUUAAGCUUGAUGGCUAAGCUGGUGUCCACAAUUUCUAAUUAGACUUUUGUGCGCUUGUGGAUUUCCAAACCCCGGGUAAUGGCACCACACAUUUGUAUGUAUAUUUAGGAGGUAAUAGCACCACAAGUCCUACAACUUGUUGGGAAUGUGAUGUUUUGGUCCAAAACUUGUAAAACCUCACCCCAACAUCCUACAACUUGCAGCCUAUGUGACAAUUUGGUCCAAAGCCAGUCAUAACGUGACAAGUGGCACCACGCUGGCUGAGCCGAUCUUCACUGCAGUUUUGCAAAUACCCCCUGACAUUUUAGCGAAUUACACCAAAUCCCUAGCCCUCUCUCUGUUCCCCGUCCCCCUGAGCCCCCUCUACCCGAUCUGCCCACCGUGUCGCCGCAGCCUCACAACGAGCAGCGGGUCCCUGUCCAGCAGCUCCUGCACGAAGCCCGCACCCCACACGGACGCCGCUGUGUAGAGCAUCCAGCCGCCGUAGCCGACCCGGAGCAGCGUGUUGCCGGCGCCGUGCUUGCACUCGCACUCCAGCAGCAGGUCCCGGGCGACGGAGGCGCGGCACGUGGACGAAGCGAGCGUCGUCGUCACACAGCCCCUCGAGGCUGUGGAUCCGGUGGAACGAGGUGAGCUUGAUGAGGAUAUUGGGGUCGAGGUGCAGGUGCCAGGUGCAGCAAUGUUGUAUGGUGGCCAGCAGGUGCCGCAGGGCCAUCUGCCGCAUGUGUGGAAAGAUCCUCGGGAACUGAAGAGAUUUGCUUGAUCGAACCAUUCUCCGAAUCUGCCCUGAAUGAACAAGUUGGGAAGAUGUUGCUUGAAAACUACGAGGAGUAUGCACGCCUUGCAAGGUCAACCUUUGACUAUAUAUUUUUUAACCCUAGUGUGAUGCUUGCAGAUCUUGUCGUACAAAGCAAUUUUGGCACAUGGUCAUGAAUCUCAUGGCUGCCAUUUCUGUCAGAUCAGAUCAAAGAUGGUACUGAAGUGUGAAGUAGAGCUUUAACCUAGGCAUUGAUGAUUUCCCCUGCUCCUUCAUGCAGGCUGUACACCGGCAUUCAUGCACAUAAGCAAAAGAAUAAGUCCAAGACCGGAGCCAUUUCCGAGUCAACAACGGCUCUAAACAUGGGUCAGGGCAAUAGCACUGUUCCGAGCAAGAACAUACCAUCAGCGCCAGCACAAGUAUCCACCUCCACCUCAACCAAAGUUCUCGGCAUACAGGAUCAGAACGCAGCUCCUUCUGAUCCUUCUGUAGGUUCAUCAGCGAAACACAAGAAGGAUGGGCCGCUUGCCGUCAAAAUCCCAGCUGAGAAGAAGAUGGAUGCCAGGAAGAAGAGCCUGAAGAGGCUGUAACAGCGCGCCCCGGAUAGCGUCGAAGCGGCGCUGUUGUACUAGUUAGAAGAUUCUGAGCAGGGCCAUUAUGCUGAGCAACAACAGUCUGAAGGUGGCUGACAACAUUGUGAGCUAUCAUUCACUACCCUCCUUUUAGCCAGAACAUCUAAACUAAUUUUCAGGUUUCGUUACAGACUAUAUGAUCGUUUGUUUCGUCUGUCGAUCUGGAAGAGAUUUGCUAGUUCAGUCAUGGAGAUUUUGUUUCUGCUGCGGAUUUGUGGUGUCGUUAAAAAAGGAUUUAUGAUUCGAGACCGAUUGGUUAAACUUUACCAUACAGAAGACUGAAUGUCCAAUGGUGUCAUGCGAAACUACAGUUGAUGAUCGGUCAUUCAGCUGAAACAUGGCAAGCAAGUAACUGAAUGACAGAAAAGCUUUGUGUUUCCAUGGAUGGACUGAACCAGUUCGUUGAAAUUCACCAUAGACCAUACCGUGUCCAUCAAACUAAUACUUGGCAUCUGGCCUUUUUGAUAUGCAAACGUCGAGUGGCAUACUACGUAUCUCUGGCAACAUCCUUUGCGGCAGUUGCCUUGUGUAUUACAUUGUACUGUGCCUUCAAAACACACAUUAGAGUCAUUCAUGUUUCUUAAAUAAUUUGGGUGCAGCACUUGCUCUUUUCUUUCCAAAAGGAGUUCAUAUUUUGUGCUUGUUUCAGAUUCCAGGUUUAGAUUUUUUCUGAAAAUAUUGCAGUACUAAUUGGCUUUUCUUGAGUUUCUAAUGCUUUUCUUUCCAUUACGCAAUACAACUGGCAUGUGUCCCAAAAGUUACUGUACCAGCACAAAGUUUUCAUAGCUCAGUUGGUUAGAGCACUUGUUUAGUAAGCGGGAUGUCUUAAGUUUUUGAAGGCUUUUUUUUUAAGGCGGGAUGUCUUAAGUUGAAGUCUGAAUGAAAGCAACUUAUUUUCUUUUAUUAUUAUAGAGUUUUAUUCUUCGGUCUAGUGUGGGUUAAUUUGCUAAAACAGUAGGGGGUAUUUGCAAAACUGCAGUGAAGACCGGCUCAGCCAGCAUGGCGCCACUUGUCACGUUAUGACUGGCUUUGGACCAAAUUGUCACAUAGGCUGCAAGUUGUAGGAUGGUGGAGUGAGGUUUUACAAGUUUUGGACCAAAACAUCAAUUCCCAGCAAGUUGUAGGACUCGUGGUGCUAUUAACUCUAUAUUUAGUUGACAAGGCUGGCAGAAAUAUAAAAAAGAAAGUAUGGAGCACUGAUAAGCUUACACCAGUUCUUAUUAUUUAACCAUUUUAUGGAACAUGUACAAAAUGCUAUACACUGAAUCUUGCCCACAUGCAUGUACUCUUAAAGUACAGAACAUAUUGUGUAACUUGCGGUAAAGGUAAAAACUGAGAGUUUUGCUGGAGUACGGUCGAAAUUGCCAAGCUGAAAUAUGGGAUUACCGUAAUUUUGAUAUUUGUGUGAGAAUCGAUGCAAAGCUUUCACAAUAGAACCAUAUUUCAUUGAUUUCAGCGAGCCCAUAUGCCUGCACACACAACAAAAAGAUCUUUUAGUAGUAAAAUAAAAUAAGUAACUUCAGUAAUAUACAAUAAGCAUAAACCAGUGAGCGCACAUAAUCAAUCCCUCACCUUCACGUGGAAUAAAUUUUGCAUGUGAUUUGAGCAAGUUCAUUGAACUUCCUUAGCAUGGAAACUACUGAGAAUUAUAUAAAUGGAAGAGAAACUUACAUAAUCUCUGUGUAACGUAAUCUCCAUGCAGGAAAUCCUAAAUGACAUCUAACAGGACCAUAAACAAGAAGAAGAUCAGGUUCUGGCCCUCCACAACCUGACAAAAAGAUUGGAACAGUAAGUGCUCUUCUAGGAUUGCGAUGUACAAAUUCCUAACUAAGAAAUGAAUAUGGUAAAUGCAAGAACUGGGAGGAGAUAAUUUUUCAAAACUUACCUACUGCUCUCAGUGCACAAACUAUGUCAGCUUCUGUAAAUGCAUUGUCAUCUUUUUUGUGCCCAUGAGAGUUGCAAUUGCCGAAGUCUGAGCACAGUAAGUUUGCUGCUUUAGCAAUGCCUUCCUUGCCAUCAGAACCAGAAAGACACUCUAUAGCCAUCCCUCCAUGUGCACUAAGAUCCUACAGGCUCACAUGAAUGACAUAAUUGUUAUAAAGAGUGAUAAAUAUAUUAAUCAAAGAACAUACAAAGAUUACCGUAAUCCAUAUCUUAGAUAGCAAAUGGGCCAACAGAAUUCUGCAUUAAGCAACUUACUAAAUUAGUUCUUGAGCUCUCAUCUGUUAAAAAAGGGGCUUCGAUACCAGGUUUAAGCCAUUCCUUUAGUACUCCUGUAGAGCAUUCUCAAAUGGUCAGACAUAUCUCUGUGCACCGUUGAUUGUGCUAUAGUCAGUGCGGGGAAAUUGAGAAGUAACAGGAAACAUGGUACUCAUCUUGGCUUAUUUAUGUUAUAUAUACCAAAAGGAUCUGAUAUGUUGGAAGACAUGUUCCCUUUCCUUUUAGUUAGAUGUUAAAAGGGUUCCAGAUUUAGUUAUUUUCUCCCUUCAGUAUCUGAUGCACAACUCAAACUGUCCAAAGUAGUUUCAUGCACCCCAACAACAACAAAGCCUUUCAAUCCCAAACAAGUUGAGGUAGGAUAGAGUUUUUCUUUUCUUCUAGAAAACGCAAAAGGCUUUUGCGUUUCAUUGUAUUAAAAAGAGAGGGUUUGGUACAAUCCUCCUAGGAGACAAAUUACAGUGCAAUUACAGGGUUAUUAGUGCACAUCCCAGGUCUGCGGCAAGAGAACGUGGAGGCCCAAAGCUCCGGCUUUGGCCCAAAGAACAGCCCCAUCCUUAAUCUUGGCGAUCACAGUAGUGAUGGAAGAGCGCGCACCCUCGAAGACGCAGUCGUUUCGAUGCUUCCAAAUCAUCCAUGGGACGAGCAGGGCAAUGGACGCAUGGGCUUGGGGGUGCUCUGCCUUGCAUAGCGCCACCAAUCAUGCAGAGCGAUGUCGUUGUCUGGCAGCAAACAUGGGAGGUGCAACCAAGAUAGGAUUGCGUACCACACCUGUCGGGCGAAGGGGCACGCGGGGAGCAGGUGUUGUAUAGUCUCCGGCGCCUGGUCACAGAGCGGGCAUCGUUGUGGGUGCGGUAGGUUGCGGUGCUCAAGGCGGUCGACAGUCCAGCAGCGGUCAAGGUUGGCAAGCCAAUGGAAGAAGCGCACCUGUGGUGGCACCCAACACUUCCAGGUUAGCCUCCAUGCUUGACAAUGGGUGGAGCCAGGGAAGGUGGCCAGGUAAGCUGAUUUGGCCGUGUACACACGUUCGUGGUCCACUUCCAGCGCACGCUGUCCGGCUCGUCGCUGAGGGUGGUUUGGGUAAUCAUGUGCCAAAGGCAUAGGUAUUCCCCUAACUCAGGGAGGCCAAUGGUGCCAUGGAUGUCGGACGCCCACCGGUGCCCAUGUAGGCCAUCAGCAACCGUUCUAGAUUUGCGAUGCCAUUUGGGAAUGCAAGCGUAUAGGAGAGGCGCAAUCUCAGAAACGGCGCGGCCGUUGAUCCAUCGGCCCUCCCAGAACAAGGUGUGAUGCCCGUUGCCGAUCAACAUGGUAGUGGACGCGAAGAAGAAUGCGCGCUCCUCACGCGAGAACUGUAGGUCCAGGCCGCUCCAGGCCAUCUCGUCAUCGACGCGGCUGAGCCACAGCCAGCGCGUGCGUAGGGCGAGUCCAGUGCGCUCGAGGUCAUGUACGCCAAGGCCACCAAGAGGGAUCGGGCAACAGACCCGCCGCCGGUUGACGUGGCAGUUGCCACCAUUGGCCUCAGCACGUCCAACCCGUAAGAAGCCUCGCUCAAUCUUCUCCAGGAACUUUAGGGUCUUUUUGGGCGGUGCGAAUACAAGGAGCUGGUGGAUGAGGAUUGCGGUCAGGACGGCCUUGACAAAAGCCAAGCGGCCGGCCUUGUUCAUGAGCCAUGCCUUCCAGGAGGGUAACUUCCCGACGACCUUGUCGACGACGGGCUGAAGCUGGGUGGCAGUAGGACGAUGAAGCGUGAGCGGGAUACCCAGGUAAGUGAUAGGAAAGUCAACAAUGGGGCUCCCGAGUAAUUGGACGACAUGGGCCGCCUCCUCGGAGGCACAACGGAUCAGGGUUGCAGCACUCUUCUAGAAGUUCACGUGCAGGCCGGAGGCUCGCCUGAAGAGGCGCAGGAUUUCCUUCACCGUCGUGAUAUCUCCAGGCGAGGGGUGGCAGAGUAGGAUCACAUCAUCGGCGUAUAGGGAAAUCACCGGAAUGGCGCGGCGAGGGUGGAGCUGUUGCAGCACUCGUAGCUCGAUUGUGCGGUGAAAAAGCCGGCCUAGCAUGUCAACAGCCAAGACAAAAAGCUGCGGGGAUACGGGAUCUCCAUGGCGCAGUCCACAUCGGUGCCAGAUCGUGGACAGAGUUGAAAUCCAUAUAAGAUCUCGAAACCUAGUUAUGGUUUUGGCACCUGGACGGCUAACUUCCACGCACCCCUAUCCAUGGCUAGUUCUUUGGUGAUAUUCCAGUCCUUCAAGUCUCUCUUAACAAACUCCUCUAAUGUCAAGUUUGGUCUACACCGACCUCUAUUGACAUUAUCAACAUGCUUUAUCCUUCCGCUAUGCGGCGGUGCUUCUGGAGACCUACAUUGUAUAUGCACAAACUAUCUUAGAGGAUGUUGGACAAGCUUCUCUUCAGUUGAUGCUACCCCAACUCUAUCACGUAUAUCAACAUUCACCACCCGAUCCUUUCUUGGACAUGUCACCUUUUAGUUGGCCAACAUUUUGUGACGUGCAAUAUCGCAUGUCGAAUCGCCCUCCUAUAGAACCUGCCUUUUAGCUUUUGUGGCCCUCUCUUGUCACAUAGGACGUCCGAAGCUUGGCGUCACUCCAUCCAUCCAGGUUUGAUUCGAUGGCUCACAUCUUCGUCGAUAUCACCACCCUUCUGUAGCAUUGACUCCAAAUAUCAAAGGUGUCCUUUUGAGAUACCACCUCCCAUCAAGGCUAACCUUCUCCUCCUUGUGCGUAGUAAGUAUUUGUUUUAGUUCUACUAAUCCUAUUACCCUUCAAUUCCAAAAUCUGCCUCCACAACUUUCUAUUAACCCUCCACCAGUUUAUUCUAGCGAAUUUGGCACGCUUAUCACGUUGGACACGUAUCUGAAAGUGAAAGUCCGCUACCAGAAGUUUAUGCUGAGGGACGACAGUCUCUCCAUGUAUCACCUUACAAUAUACGCAAGCACGCCUGUCUUCUCUUCUCAAGAGGACGAAAUCAAUCUGACCGUAGUGUUCACCACUACUAAAAGUCACUAGAUGGGAUUCUCUCUUUUUAAAGAGAGUGUUAGCUACGAUCAUGUCGUAGGCUAAAGCAAAGUUUAAGACAUCCUCUUCUUGAUUCCUACUGCCAUAAGCAAAGCCCCCAUGCACCCCUUCAAAACAUGUGUUAGAUGUACCCAUGUGGCAACUGAGGUCUCGUCAUAUGGAAAACUUCUUGCCAAUAGGCACACUCCUAGCCAUGUUCUCCAGGCCUUCUCAGAACUCCCUCUUGGUGAUCUCAUUGUGGCCUACGUGUGGGGCAUAUGCGCUGAUAACAUUGGUAACUAAGUCCUCAACGCCCAGCUUGACCAGGAUAACUCAGUCCCCUUGCCUCUUGACGUCUACCACUCCAUACUUGAGGUUCUUGUUGAUCAAAGAUGCCUACUCCAUUUUUGUUUGCAGUUGUCCCCGUGUACCACAACUUGAAGGCGAUAUCCUCCACCUCCUUCGCCUUAUGUCCCUUUCGUUCAGUUUCUUGGACGCAAAGGAUAUCAACGCCUCUCCAUACCAUUGUAUCAACAAACUCCCGUAACUUACCCCGUAAGGGACCCUAUGUUCCAGCUACCUAAGAGGAUCCUACUUGGCUUGGCUAGCUUCCUUACCCUUUGCAUUUGUCGAGUCAAAAGACCCUUGCUCAUUUUUCACUACACCCGGGCGUCGAUGUAGCGCGCCACAAGGGAUACAAUAACUCGAUCCUUGCUCAGUUAUCACCGUAUCCAAAUCAAGAUACGGCGCGCCACCAAGGGAGUGAGGGCCCGACCCUUGCCGAUUGAACACCACACCCUGGUUCCAAUGUGGCACGUCGCUAAGAGGGUUACGCCCCAACAAUGUUCUUUUAGGUUGCAUCUCCAUAAGAGUGGUUGAGUUUCCAAGUUGGCUCGCCAAGCCUAUCACAAUCCUCCUCCUUUACCUGGGCAACGUAAGCGGAGUUCCGAAGUAGUUUUUCAUGCAAAAUACAUAAAAUUUGAAGGUUGCUUUUUCCACGGUAUAGAUUUAUGGAAGAUAACUUGAAGGGCCAAGAGUUAAAAUAAAGCAGCACACACAGUUAUUAAUACCAGAUAUUAUUACUAAACUCGUUUUUUCUUUUACUUUUCUCACCGUCAAAGGCAAGCACUCUGCCACAUUAUAUUAAGAAAGAAAGAGUUCUAUGUUCAGGUAAAGAUAGGCCAAAAAGACUUGAAAAGAAUAAGAUUGCAUGUACUCAAACAAGUAAGCAUGUAAAGCAAAUGUUCAUAAGCACACCUUCAUUGUCAUAGAGAACUACAUACUUAACGCCAAUAUUUGAUAACCACCGUAAAAGCUGCUUGAUCUUCAAAACAUUAUUUGCUUCUCUGCUAUCUACUACAACGCCCACGUAAUUAAGUCUCUCAAAAUGAAGAUCUCGGUACUUGGGCAGCAGCUCAGACGAAAUAAAAUAACAUUCUAGAUUAUCAUUCAGAUGCGACCACAAAUCGAAGAGGCUGACCAACAGGUGGACAAGGUGCCACAGCAGCCCCA
rnacentral:lncRNA from 1 species